rnacentral:lncRNA from 1 species
GUUUAGCUAUGCUCUCUCUCUCUCUCACACACACUCUGUAUGAUCACUUUUUCAAUAUUUCCCUUGUAUGAUGGUUAUACUCCUGCAAUCAAAAAAUAAUAAUAAGAACAAGGUUGCCUUUUUUAAAAAAAGAAUAGCUCAAUGACCAUUUAUUUGGAUAUAUUACAAGAGAACACUCGAUCCUGCCUAUUCUGAACAGGAGUCUAAGUUUGAUGAGCCUAAAUGUAGAGAGAGGAGGUUGAUUUCAUACUCUCUAUAGUAAUUCAAUCCCCAUAGUCCAAACGGUUAGAUGGCUAAGAUACAUACCUUACAUUAGGCAAAAUCAUUUGGGUCAUCAAGGACCUGUUCAAACAUACCCAGAAGCCUGAAUUUCCAGGUUGAUUUACAAGGAUCAUUUGUUAGGUACAGGCUUAAACGGUUUUAGCCUGAAAUUAUUGCAAAUCAUACGAUACAGACGCCACAUCCUUCAGUUUACCUGCAAGCCUUGUGACUGCAUGCUCAUACCAUGAAUCUAGGGGGGGGAAGAUGCACUUUCUUCAUGACAAUGGCUGGUUUCCUCUCUCUCUCUCUCUCUCUCUCUCUCUCUCUCUCUCUCUCUCUCNNNNNNNNNNNNNNNNNNNNNNNNNNNNNNNNNNNNNNNNNNNNNNNNNNNNNNNNNNNNNNNNNNNNNNNNNNNNNNNNNNNNNNNNNNNNNNNNNNNNNNNNNNNNNNNNNNNNNNNNNNNNNNNNNNNNNNNNNNNNNNNNNNNNNNNNNNNNNNNNNNNNNNNNNNNNNNNNNNNNNNNNNNNNNNNNNNNNNNNNNNNNNNNNNNNNNNNNNNNNNNNNNNNNNNNNNNNNNNNNNNNNNNNNNNNNNNNNNNNNNNNNNNNNNNNNNNNNNNNNNNNNNNNNNNNNNNNNNNNNNNNNNNNNNNNNNNNNNNNNNNNNNNNNNNNNNNNNNNNNNNNNNNNNNNNNNNNNNNNNNNNNNNNNNNNNNNNNNNNNNNNNNNNNNNNNNNNNNNNNNNNNNNNNNNNNNNNNNNNNNNNNNNNNNNNNNNNNNNNNNNNNNNNNNNNNNNNNNNNNNNNNNNNNNNNNNNNNCGUUCGUCUCUCUCUCUCUCUCUCUCUCUCUCUCUCUCUCUCUCUCUGGCUAUUCAUUCCUCCUCCAUUAUUGGCUGCAUCCCUCGGAUUGUAUGGGCUUUACAGUGUUGUAUGUGGGACUAUCUCUGUACAUCUUGGAGUGAUAAACUGAUCAUGUACAAGCUUGGAGAAGUGGGCUUUUAAAUCUGUUCGCUCUCGUAACUCGAUAACCGCGAGUCUGAUAGAACCGAGAAAAGUUGGGUUUCUACAAAGAGCUGCAAUAUAGUGGUGAAUGUAUAGUUAAUGCAAGUACUCUUUACCAGUAAUUAAAAAAGAACAUUAAUGCAUUUAUAAGAGAGGAAUAUACACAUUGAGCAGAUUGGUACUGUUGAUUAUGUUUCUCCAUAAUGUUUAUGAGGGCAUUAGCUCUUUUCCCCAACCAUCAACAGAUCAGUAUGUGCGCAUGAAUGCCUGUGCGUGUGGAUGCACACGCACACAUGUGUGUGUGUGUGUGUGAGAGAGAGAGAGAGAGAGAGAGAGAGAGAGAGAGAGAGAGAGAGAGCUCAAACUCGACAUCACAUCUAUGCACUAACAUUUACACUCAAUCUCAUAGUAACUCAUUAAUGGAUUAAAACAAUAUACUCACAAGGAAGUACAAGAAGAGCUCAAAAUAAGACAACCUUAUAGCAAGCAAAAGAAAUUCAAAUUGUUUGAGGAAAUUGGAAGCAUGUACUAUUAAUAUGAACUUCACAUGAGCUUCUUUUCCUCCUUUUAUUUACUUUCAUAGUUUAUCCAUGUGGAUGGUGUCCUGUACAGACAACAUCUUUCACUCACUUUUUUAUUCUUUUCUCUACACAGGAAUAACAUUCACCACAGAAUGGCACACAGAUAUAGACAAUAUACCUUGACAAAUGCUCGGUCCCUAUAAGGGAAGGAAUCGACAAAACUGUCCUUAAGAAGAAGUGAAACCUGAAAGAUAACCCAACAAGGGAAAUAAACAUAUAUCUAAGACACUGGAAAGAGAACUUUGCAUUAUCACGGAAUUCAGAAAAACUAAUUAACAUGCAGAAAAAUUAACCGACUCUGGUUAGCUUUCUACCGACCCUGUCAUUGUUUGAUUGUACAUUGGUAAUUGUAUGAGAUCGCAAAUUUGAGCAAAGUGACUCCAGGUACCCCCUCAUGACACCCAGAAAGAGCUGAGCAGCUUCAGCCUGCGAAAUUGUACUGUCAGUAACUAAUGAGAUAUUUAAAAACUUAGUGCAGAGAGUUUUUCCAAACCCAAUGGGUCCACAAGGAUAAGACCAGCUCUGCUGUGUUCAAGACAAAAGAAUGCCAUUCCAAUUUUACAGUAUGGACCCUUAAGGUUUGGCCUGUCGGUAGACAUCCCUGGUUCUUAAGCGGAAGGUGUGUGCUUCGACUGAAGUUUGUGCCCAAAACAAGCCACAUGACCUACUCUUUUUCUCCUUUUUAUUGCAUCUUUCAUUAAAUAACCUAGAAUCAAAGUGAAAUUUGCUUUCUUUCAGUACUGAGAAGACCGAAACAAAGCCAAGUCUAAUUCUUCACCCCAUUUUUAUCCCUCUUUAGGAAGCUGUUCUGAAACCAACACCCUGUAGUAGUGCUUCUUUCUCUUUCUUUCUUACUGAAAACAAUGGUCAGAACCCUCAAGACCAAAAAAUUCUACCCCAACCCAUUCUUAGAUAUCUCUUUUUCAUUUGCACUCACUAUUCCUCAUAAUCGAAACUAAAUGAUUUCCAUAGGAACGUCCUGUCCAUAAGAAAACACAUUCCAUAUACAUGGCGCAUCUAUCGUAGAAUAUUUGAUGAUUUCUAAAGUACAAAGAAGAAAUUCAUUAACUUUCUCAAUAGGUGAGUGUUUAACUGUAUGCACCUGCGCUUCAUUGCAUUUAUGCACUGGAUGCCUUUUAGCAAUAGAGUCUUGACAUGCAAGUCUUGCAUGGAUCGGUGCCAAUUCUGACACAAGCUCCCGCUGUCGAGGAAGUGAAGGCAGUGUACACGUCUUUACCUGAAAAUCACACAUAACCAACCACAGAAAAGUUAACUUCCCAGCAUUUACAAAAUUGUGAUCACAUAAACUUGAGAAAGUUUAAUUUGAAAUGGAAGUAGGAUGGCAAGGAUGAUAACUUAACCACUCAUGGCUACAGACUAGCAUCAUGCAUUUAGACUAAACUUGAUACAAAAUUCUAAAUCAGCAUAUGAGAAAAGCUAUUAGCACUUUUCUCAAUUUCCAGCAUAAAGGUUAAUGGCAGAAGGCUUCAGCAAGUAAAAUACCCGUUACUAAGCACCGUAACUUUGCAGAGUAACAAAGUUACGCAAACUCUCAAAUUAUAAACUAAAUAAGAAUGUCAAGCAUUUCUCCCUUCUGAAUAUAAGAAAGCAUCCAAACCAGAAAUUCUUCCAAAAUAAAAUAUCUGCAUGUUCCAAAAAUAUGCAAUUCUUCCAAAAUAAAAUAUCUGCAAGUUCCAAAAUCUGCAAUUUAUUCUUCUUAAAGAAUGAUUUUGAUCCUACCAAUACAUUCUUCGAAAAUGGCUUCAGAAGACAAUAAAACUGGAAUGAUAAGUCACUCACCUGAUUCUUGUACACAUUAAUUCGAAUGAGAUUGGAAGUUUUCAUCUUCAGUUCAGCUGGCUUAUGUUGGAUGCCAACCUAAGGAAUGCCAAAGCAACAAAUUAGUAAGUUUAAAUUCAGUUCAAGAAUUAUACAGAAUUAUGUAGGAAAUAGAAAGUAGCACACAAAUCAAGCUGGUUUAUACCUUUUUAGUUGCAUAUAUAAAGCAUGACAAAUAAAAAUCAACAUGCUCUCAUUGACAUAAUAUGAUGCAUAAAAAAGUACUAACUCGUCUAUGAGAAAAGAAUAACUGUAAACAUAAGAAAAGUUGCCAGUUUACACAGAGAUGGGUAGAAAACAGAAUCAUACUUACAACGAAUGGAACAGGUGCAUCAAGAAAUUCAUGCAUCUUUCUCGGAAGCACCUGAAUUCGACACAUAAAUGGAAAAUUAAUUUCAAGCAUUAUAAUCUACAUUAACAAGAAGUAUUACACACCUAUGAUAUGAACAUUUUAAGGCGUGCAUGAAAAAUGUUUAUGGAUAAAUUAUAGAGGUUGCCACACAAGCAAGAGAAUUUUUUGGGAGAGGGAGUUGUUAUGGGAGGGGCAGGGGAGAGAUGGGUCGGAAUAGAUUGGGAUUCCCUAUAAAGAGAAAAUAUAAUUCUACUAGCACACAAGCAAAAGUACAACAUGUUCAUUAAAGACUAUCAAACUUACAGGAAGCAAUAAACUCUGCCACUCAAAUGGACGGAUCAUGGGAAUAAUUGAUAGUACAGUGGCUGAAAGGAUACCCUGAAACCAACACAGUUCUCAGAUGAAUAAGAUAAAAAAACCAGGCAAUGAGUAGAACUUACUAUUUGCUUGAAUUAUUCCGUGCAGUAACCAACAGACAUACAAGUACUCAUACAUCUAAAGGGACAACCCAAUAUAUAAAGUAAACUCACCAAAUUGGGGCAUAUGACAACCACUUGUUUUUCCAGCAAAGCUCCUGUGAAUAAAGCUAGCACCUGAAAUUAUCUGAAUCUCAUGAACAAAACUUCAUUACAAUUCCCAUAUCGAACCUUCAUCUUGAGCAUAUACAAUGAUAAUAAUAAUAAUAAUAAUAAUAAUAAUAAUAAUAAAUAAAUAAAUAAAUUCCAGCUUCCAGGCGAGCUGGGCAGCCAGGCACCCUAGUUGGAGCCUAGACGAGGUGCUAGGCAGCAUAUUUUACUAGGCUUGAUCUUAGAGGAUUUUACACCCUAAGAAGCAAGAUAUUGAAAAUUUCUUGAGAAUGAAAACAUUUUCCAACUUCCUGGUUUCUUGUGAAAUUGAAGUGUAUUCAUUCCUAUAAUUUUUUAGAAUCAAAGUGGUUGCAAAACAGGAUUUUCAGCAACUAAAGGUCACCCAUUUGUGCCAACUUUGAUUGCAUUUGAAAGGUUAGUGUCUCACAUUUCUUGGUUUAGGGUUUGCUGACAUUUAUUAAUAUUGAUUUGUGAUUUGUUUAUUUAUUUAUUUUGGAUAUGUUUUCUUUUUUGUUAGUUCAACUGUGAUAGUUUGGGUUCUAGUUUUGAGUUUUAUGUUUUGGUUUAGUUCGAUUGGGUUCUACUUUGAGUUUAUCGACAUUUUAUUGAGGUCAGAUAACCCAAUCCUAAUAAAAUGUCGAUAAAAGUCGCGCAUCAUAGUAACUUUUUCUACUUUAUUAGUAAAUUUUUACAUAUUUGGGGAAUUGCUCUUUCUUUUUUUUUCUAAAUGAUUAAAUAGUUUCUUGCUACUUUAUUGUUUUGAGACUUUAUAACACAUUCUUUCAAUACAACUAAAAGUUCAGCAAUACAAUGUACUUUUUUAAGAAAAGUGUACUCUUACUGCAUUUUUUUUGUUAUUUUUUUUGGCGGGGGCGGAAUGGUUUGCAACCCAACCCCCCAAGUACCACUCUAUGGUGCAUGGAAUCCCCCCUUUCAGUCUGGGCCACCUAGAUAUCAAGGCAGCUGCUUCAGCCAUCUUGAAAAUUUGGGCAUAUAAAAGAGUUAAGCACAUUACUGCACUCCAAACAAAUGACAACAAAUUAUUAGAAAAGAAAUUACACUUUCAAGAGACAAUGCACGGCAAACUGUUGCAGUGGUCCACACAGAGAGAGCGAAAGCCUCCUCAGCAGCCGCUAAUUUUGCAUUCACCUUAGAGAAAAUUAUUUACCUCUUAGCAUUGAAAUAUAAUAAAACUAUCGCCAAUACAUUUCACAAUAGAACAAUGGAAAAGGAAAUUGUAGAAAUUUACCUCAGCAAUUUCUAACAAUGAACGAGGAGACCCUGUAUCACCAUACUUGCCACCUAAACCCAAGGAUGGAACACUGGGUCUACUAUAUCUAAUUGGUUGCAGGUGCUCCAAUGGCUGGAAAACUAUUUCUUCUCCCCGUGAUGGUAUGGGGAAUUGAUGAUAACCACAAACUAUCUGCAGCAGAUCAUUUUUGUGCACCUAUUGCCAUUUUCCCCAUAAAAGAUCAGUAUAAACUUUAGGCACACAUGCUACAAAGAACUCAACUUCCAAACGUAACAUAGAAUUUACCUUAGCCCAGUCCAUUACUUCUUCGUCACUAAUAUUCUUUUCAGCACCAGAGUUAACUUCAUCGACAUCAUCAUCUUCUGAGCCAAUGCUUCUCACUGAACUGAGCCCCAGAGAAAGUUUCCAGUUAAGCUAUAAACCCAAGUUGAAGGAGAAUAGGGAAGGAGAAAUACCCCAAAAAUGUUAAAAGAAAGGGAGAAUAAUAAAGCAAUACCUGGAACACCUGCAUAAGUCAUGCACGUGCUUCCGAGAUUUCAGAGUUCCAGACCGUUAUUAGCUUCCAAAAAUGAUUUAUCAAUCAGCCUAAUAUUUUCAGAAAAUGCUAAACUGGUACUUUGAUACCCAACAAGGGUGAAAUACUGUUUCAAAAAAGAAUGGCCAGCCAAGGCACUGUUAGGAAAUUUAGUGGUAUUUAUGAAGAUCUCCAGGUAAUGUCUAGCGCUUUCCCUAAGUAAAGGUCUGACAAACCAAGAAGACAUGACUUACUGCAGGUUCUGGUUCUAUGUAAAGUAAAUCAUCGAUGAUGCAGAACAGUUCAUAGUUAUCAAGACCGGACCAAUCCGGCCCAAUCGGACCCAUUGCACCGGCAACCAGUCCGAUCCAAAGCAAAUACUGGGUUUGGCUGAAAACGGAUCAAAUGUUUAACCAUUUAUACUACUCAGGCAUGAUGGUCUUGAUCAGUCAAACCGGUUAAAAAAGUUGAACAUUUUUUUGCAAAAUAUUUUAUGUUUUAAACUAUUAUUUAUUUUUCUUUAUGUUUUGAAAAUCCUGUUCAACAAGUUCGAUUGACAAUCAAAUGGUUUUGACUAGACCAGACCCCUCACCGGUUCAGUGGUUGUCCAAUCUUGAUAACAUUCGUAUAGUUAGCCGACAAGCAUAUGGUAGAUUUGGAGUUAUGCCAUAUGCAGUUCCAUAAGAGCUUAAAAACACACAUUCCAUAUUGAAUACUAUAGUGGGUUUGAGGAAAAUCUUAGAAAUAAGUGAAAGAAUAUACAAUGGUUUACUGAACUAUGGCAAAGUAUAACCUGCCACGGUCAUGCCUGUCUAGUGAAAUGACCAAUUACGAUCGAGAAUAUUGGGUCAUCUCCUGCUGCAGUGAGCACUCUAUCUCCAUGCUUAUCCAUCAUUUCAUCAGACGGCCAUGAGCCAAAUAGAGAAUGGUUUUACAUAGCUUGUUUAUAAAGAGGGAUUCCAGUCACAGAAUACAUGCAUAACCAACAUAAAAAGUUCAAGUAUCAUGAUAUAUUAUUACCUAAAUAAAGAUUCUGAACUUCCAACACGUUCAAAUGUGCGACCUGUAGCGCAGUGAAAUGUUCCAACCUCUGGUGAAGCCUGACCAUUCUCAUAACCACCAUUCUGCCUUUCAAAAGAAUCAAAGGGGCAAUCUGAAGACUCAGAUACAUACCCAUCAUAAGAUUGCAUGCUUUUCCUGGUGUCCUUAUCAAUUUCCCUUGAUUGACUCAAAUCAGAAGCCUCACUAGCUGGGAUGCUUACUGGUGACACAGGUUCUGAUGCCCGAAAUGAAAAUGAUUGGACUUCAUUAUCUGAUAUAAGACCAGCUGCUGCAGCAGCAAGCCCUAAAACACUAUCAACAGGAAUGGCAAACGCCAUCCAAUCGUUCAGGUUUUCUCCAUUUGGGGAUUCGGGGAUCUCGUUUCCCCUCUCUCGAACUUUAACCAUAGGUGGAACACAAUCUGUGAGAGUCAUUUCGUUAACAAAUUCUGUUAUUCUAUCCAAGCGCUCUUGAGCAAUUAUACUGUAUCCACAAAAAUAAUAUGUCAGUAGUUACAGAAACUUAAACAUGCAAACCAACACAAUAGGUGUGUAUGUGUAUGUAUCCACUGAAAACUUGUGAUGAGGAACUAUGAAAUAUCUAGCAAUAAAACAAGAGUGUACAAGAUUUUUCAGAAUAUCCCCAAAUAUUAACAAAAAGAAUAGUAUACAACAGUCCAUAAGACUAUGAAGACCACAGUCCAUUGCGGUCAUGACCCUCAAACAAAAGGAUGGCCAGUGAUGGAGUGGUACCCUUCAAAACAGAGCAUGGUUCACGCUCUUAUCCCCUCCAUCCAUCAUUCUGUUGGAUGAUCAUGAUGCCAAUAGGCAAUGCUUUUCUGUGGUCUGCUGGAGUAUACUAUAUUUUUCCCAACAGAUUGAUCAUUUCUCAUUUGCAAACCACUACUGGUAAAGAAGUAAUAUGAUGAAAAGAAAAAAGAGAGGAUUAUGAGAACAAACAAAACAUAGUAUCAGGCAAGAUGUUGAACUUAUGCACCUGUUUAGCAUCUCAUAAUGGAGCUCGAAAAAGGGGACUCUCGUAAGUAUGCAGUAGCAACGCGGCGCAGACACCAAAAAACGACUAGAACUUGAAGACUGGAAUUGUGGGGAAACAGAACCUAGUAUACCUGGUGGCCUCUGAACAAUUUCCUGGACGUGUAAGCAUACACCAUAUAAUGUUGCAUUAUCUGCUACCUGUUCAAACACUAAGACAUAAGUGUUCAUAACCAGUGAUUUAAAAAAGAGAUUGUAUAUUAUGAGACAAUUUAUUUUUGGUACAAGAAGGUCACAUUCAUUCUUAGCCAUGUGAUGCGAUAUUUAAUGCAUUGAAAUGCGUCACAACAUUCGAGAUAUCUUGUUUUGGACAUUGUGCCUAGUCAAUGACAUAUUCCCAACCACCCAAUUUCACAUCUAGCGUUCAAUAGUAGUUGUGACCUCCUUGUACCAAACGUAAAUAAUAUCAUUAUCUAUAUUUUUUUAAAAAAAAUGGAAUGAUGGUGUGUAACACCCAUCCACCGAUCCCGAUCUAGAUAAGCCUGAUCAGCAAGAACGGCAAUCCGCAAAAAAUUUAAAAAUAAAAUAAAAAAUAAAUAUAAAAGGAGUGAACUUAUAUACAAGUUAAUAUUUGCAUGGGGGGAACCUUGACCUUCAUCCCAAAGUUGGGGGUUGGAAUCCGCACUCUUCCUAUAUGUAUUUUUUUUCCCACUCUUACUGUAUUUAUGAUUUUCUUAUUGUAAUGUUGAACAUUUAAAAAAAUUGAAAGAUACCCGUGAGAUUCGAACAACUUGAGACUCACAAACACACAUGCUAGCCACAUCACAUGUUUAAAUCUUUUGUAACUUUUUCCAUCUCACUUUAUAUAUGAUUGUUUCAUUAAUGUUGAACAUCUAAAAAAAUAGAAGCAGACCCCAUGAGUUUCGAACCUUGACCUUGAUGCUGACAAACGCAGGAACUAGCCAUAUCACACAUUAGAACUUUUUGUUAUGAAAUGCACAUAUUAUAUUGUAUUAACCAGUGAAUCAUCGAUUCCUACAGAGGGUAGCCACAGUCACCGGUGAUUCCUUAUCCAGAGUGACGAUUUUUUAACCUUGUUUAGAAACCCCAUUUCAAAGAGAUUAUGAUCUACAACUAUGAAAAGCACGUGCAACUGCCCAGCAUUCCAUAACAUGCUUCUGUUACACCGACUGUUGUACUAUAGUCACCUUAGUAAGGUGGUAGUACUAGACUCUUGUCUUCCCUGUGCCACGAGUGAGGCUUCCGAACGAGUAAGGCUCCUUACUACCUUCCUUGCCUUUAGGUAAGGGAAUAGUCCUACUGUCUACCCUAUUGGGUGGGUGGGGUUCCAAUACUUUCUAUUCCCAGUAAAAAGGUAAUAGCUCUUUUCCUAAAUUGCUUGCAAAAAUGUAUUCUUUUUGUUUCAUCAUUUUUUUCUUUUUUUUGAAUUUUUGUCGAUAGGUUACAAGGUAGGAAUCAAACCUGAGGCAUCACGCUGUAGCUCUGCCACCCUGACAACCCGCGCCUUGGGUUCGUUCCUAGUUUAUUUGAGUCAUCACCAUCCAAUGAAAUGAUGGAUGGUGGAGGAGAGAAUGGGAGCUAUCAUUGGUCAAGUCCUGUUCUACUAGGUCACACUGACUCUCCAUCACCAUUCAUCGCAUUGAAUGUUCUAUGUCUUUUUCUUUUGAAAGAGUUAAAAACCCAAGGAUCAGAUGGUUGAUACCAUGUAUUAGCAUUUUAAUUUUAUCUUUUUUUUACAAACAUAAUAAUAAGCUAUUAUUUGGGGCAUCCACUCUUAUAGUUCUUAUGCACCUAAAAAAAUAUAAAAUAAGUAUUUUGAAACAAGUAAAAUGACAAAAAUACUCCUGAAACUUUGAGGGGUAUAUUGGUCAUUUUUAAUUUACUUGAAUUCUUUUUUUAAUAUUUUUUAGAGAUGUGCCCUGAUGAGGCAAACGAAAUCUCCAAAAUUCGUUAAGCUAUGAGAUUUUUAAGAGAACAAAAAUAAAAAUAGUAUUGGAAAAAAAAUUUACAAUGAUGCCACAGUACAUCAACCAUUUCCAAACUACAGUCUUCCAUAAUGGGGGCAUGGAACUGGUGCUAUCCACUUUUUGUGGAAAUUGGAAGUUCCAGACAGGCCACCCACUAGCAUUUCCUGUUAUCAAACAUGGAUGUGCUAUAGAAACCAGCAGAGCUAGAAAGUUCCAGAAAUUAAAUGUGCCAUAAGAGUAACAAUUAGAAGCUUUAUUUUAGUCAUGUUCCCCAGUUGAACUACAAGAAAAAUGAAACCAAUUUUGCAUUCCCUCUGAAAUAAAAAAUAUCCUCUAUCAGAGCAUAUGCAAAAAUAUAACAAAGAACACGGAGAAUAUCAACCUAACUAAUUUUUGGAAGGCUAUAGGCCUAUACAAAUCGCAGUAAAACAAAUGCAAAAGGAAUUUUUUUAUUCACUACCCAGGUUAUAUGAUUUCACCAAGCCAAAUAAGUCAACUUAACCAGGUCGCUCCUAAUUAUCGAUGAUAACAUGUAUUUUCUAUUGCAUUGCAAUUGCAUGAUUUAUUUGGUUCAGGUUGUGGCUUUAUAUUUCAUUCUACCCCAAAAAGUAAACCAGAAACUAAUGGUAUGAGAGACACACCAAGUGAUCCAAAAUAAAAUGUAUUGGAGAAACUUCAACCCAUAACUCAGCUUAAGAAGCAUAAGAAAGGACUAUCCUGGAAGAUCCAUAUCGCAAAAGAUCAAGAAAAGUAUGAAGUAUUCAAUUAGAGUGAAAGCAACGUCUAUGUCGCAGCAAUAAUAUUCAAUCUAUCCAUUAGGCGUAUUUCAAGUAAUUGUUUACUGUCCUCGAGUACCCAUACAAAGCAGUACCAACAAAGUUCAAUUUCCAUAAUGACAAGAUAUAUAUUAUUGAGUGAAUCACGGCACUAAAAGUUAAUGGAUUCUAUCAUUCACACGGUAUUCUAUACCACAACAAUCAAGUGUGACUAAACAAUAUAAUAAUGAAACAAUAUAGUAAUGACAACCACACGACUAACCUUGAGAGAAAAUAUAAACGAUAAAUCAUCCCUAGAUAGGUGCUCCUGCAAGUAAAAAUUCAUGAUAAGAAAUUCCCAAUCAGAAAUGAGAAUUAAAAAUACAGGAAAUAAGAUCUAGAACUCAUUGCAGUAGGGGCCAAAUGGAUUCCAUAGGACAUAAGAGAACCAAUUUAGAUGCAAAAAGUUAAAAAACAUAACAAGUAUACCUGAAAAGAAAAUGACCCGACAUAAGAAAUGCACAUACGCCCAUAGAAAUGCACAUUCAUUUAGAUCACCAAAUUCGAUUCCCACCACUUAAAAAAAUUUAUACAUCACUCAUGAAAAGAAAAUAAUUUUAAAUAAAGCAUGCCUACCUGGCCAUAUACAACUUCAUUAAGAUCGCUCAUUGAUGGUGUUCUUUCCAUGAGACGAGCCUGCAACAUUUUCAUAAGGCUAUCAAAAAAACCAGACCAAUCCAAUAUCGCUGGUGAAAAAGAUUUACGUUAGAGAAGGGUUCCUAGCAGAAGCAAUGCGGAACAGUGAAAAAACUAGGUCAUGAUAAUAUGUGAAGCAUUCUCCAUAGGGAAAAAACUGCAUAAUCCCAUAAGUUAAUUUCUACAACAAUAGCUCCACACAAAAACUCCUCAAAACAUACUGUUCAUCCCAAGGAACAAGCUCAUGUAAAACUAAAUCCAAAAAGAAAAAGCAAAAAAUGUUAUUUUAUGAGGAGAGCGAAAAUUCAGUGCAUACAUACCAUUUAUUUUAACAAAUAAAAAAUUGAAGGAGCGAAAAAUAAUACUUAUUUUUAAUUUCUAUUCAAUUUUAAAUGAUGAAUAUUUUCAUUUUAGUUUUAGGGUUUAAUUCUAGGUUUUUUAGUUUCUAGUAAUUCUAGGGACUUUUUAGAUAUUUUAAUUUAAGUUAGGGAGUUUAGUUUCAAGUUAUACGUAAGUUAGGACCUUUUGAUCAAACAUUAAUUGUAUGGACAAAUGUUAUCUAAAACAAUAAUUUUUUGUUAUAAAUAAAGGCGUGGAUGGGCUAGAGAGGCAUUCACGUUUUCUUCUUUAAGAAAAGAAAGGCUUUGUCUUGUAAAAGAAGCCUAAGGCUUGAGCCAUAGGUGGGAGAAAGCCUUAAGGUUUCUCCAAAAUUGUUGGUGUCAAUGUGCUUCUUGCUGAUUUAUUAUGUUCUUCAAGUUCUCCUACAUCAAGUGGUAUUAGAGCCCGCGACCUACACGGAAUUUACUGUAGCAAGAGUGAGUACGGAAGUUAUUGUAGCAUGUGCGAAAUUUACUGUAGCACAAUUUUUGGUGCCCUAGAUCAACAAAAAAGAGAGAAAAUUAUAGUGGGGUCUAAGGUUUGCUGAUUUUGGCCAACGUUUUGCCAAAACAACCUAGAUCUUAAUGAUUUCAACAAUUAUUGUUGAUUAUUUGACUAGGGUUUGUGAUUUCGACAAACACAUAGCAGUAAUAAGGGGCCAUAGAAGGGGGAUUUUCAUGGACCCGCUCCGUGAUCCCAAAGAUGAGAGAAUUGAAGAACUUGAAAGACAAGUUCAGUGGCUGACACAACUAUUCGUGACCCCCAAUAAUGGGCAAGACGGUCAUCUGUCAGCCCAUCAGCCCAGGAGGAUCUUGAAUACAACCCCUUUUCACCAUUGCGCUCCGCGAGUGGAGUCGAGUGAUGAGGAUAGCGACAGGAGACCUAGACAUGGGGUGCGUCACUCUAGGGUUUUCAAUUUGAAGGAUGGGAUUUUUUAUUUUGACACAGAUUUCAUGGAAAGUCAGCAAAUUGUAGAUUGAGAUUCACCAUUAAUCUUCGAUAAUAAUCAGAUAAACAACAAGAUUUCUUAGGAGAUUCGAUUUAUGAUAAAGAUCAAGAUGAUGGUGAAGAUAUCUUGAAAGAGGGUGAAGAAUAUGGAGAGAAGGCAACAGGAGGACUGAUCCAAAUCAUGGCCUUUCAAGAUGUUAUUAAUAUUGAAGAGAUAGAGCAUUCAAAAAAUAUACGAUAUUGGAAUCAGAGUAGUACAAUGGAAGCAUGGUUGAUUAAGAAUCUGCAAAUUGUGGCCUUAAUUCCUCAAUAUACAUUUCAGGAUCCAUUUCUUGAGGAAUUUUUUUAUUAAAAAUAAUCUUUUAACCAACAAAGAAGAAGAAGGUUGAAGAAGGUGGUUUUGACACUGAAUUCAUCUUAGCACACUUCAAAACUCGAAGAAGAGUUUUCUCCAACCAAGAGAGAAUGAUGGAGGGAUUUUUAAUUUCUAUUCAAUUUUAAAAGAUGUAUAUUUUGAUUUUAGUUUUAGGGUUUUUAAAUUUCUAGUAACUCUAGGGACUUUUUAAAUAUUUUAAUUAAAGUUAGGGAGUUUAGUUUCAAGUUAUAGUUAAGUUAUGACAUUUUGGUCAAAACUUAAUUGUAUGGACAAAUGUUAUCCAAAACAAUAAUUUUCUAUUAUAAAUAAGGGCGUGGAUGGGUUGGAAAGGCAUUCAUGUAUUCCUCUUUAAGAAAAAAAAAGACUUUGUCUUGUAAAAUAAGCCUAAGGCUUGAGCCAUAGGUGAGAGAAAGCAUUAGGGUUUAUCCAAAAUUGCUUGUGUCAAGGUGCUUUCUAAAAAGACUUUUAUGUUCUUCAAGUUCUCCUACAUAAAAAAUGAUAUAAGAACCAGGCUUGAGAGAGGUCUGUUUGACCCAAAUUUCAUAAAUGCCCUCAUUAUCACUAUAAAUAAAUAAAUAAAUAAAUAAAAGAAAAAACAGACUUUGAAUCCUUAAAGGAAAGUUUAUAUAAGGCAGCAACCUUACAUCAUGUAAGGUUGCAGCAAUCUACAUUGUCGAUUUUAGACGGAUGGAGUAGGUUUGACAUUGUCUACACUAUCCAACUAGAAUAGAUGUGUAGAACAAACCACCUUACUUCUACAAGCAAGCUUACCGCCUUAAAUAAACCACACCCUACACACGAACACACACACACACGCACACUUCAAUCUUACCUCUACAAGCAAGAGUGCUGCCUUAGGCGAUUUGAACAGCCUAUAUUCAACUAAAAAUGGUGAAACAUUUUGGCCUACAUUUUUGGUGCUUAUUGAUUUUUUGUUAUUAUUUGAAUUGCCUAUAUGAGGGGUACAUGCGUGCAAAAUUUGCGGUCCAUUGCACUCCUACUUUUUAUGAAAAAUUUUCUAACAUGUUUGUUCAUUUCUGUGAGAUUCAAACUAGUAGUCAAACCUAUACCAUUCCAUAGGUCCACGGGCUCAUAUGAUCAUUAUCCACACACACAUGCACGUCCGAACACACACACACACAAACGCACACACAGACACACAAAAUAUUUGGUAAGCCCAUGAGCGUAUGUCUACAGUUUUAUGCUUUUAGCUCAUGCCCGAAACCUAGUUAGGAGAUUUGUUUGACAUGAAAACACAACAUUGAAUCACCAUUUGAAUGAUUAAAUCUGACUGUUCAUAUGCCAGUCAGCUUAAGGGCCAAACACCAUAGGGGAUUGUUAGACCUUGCCAAACAACUUUAGUUCCCCAGAUGAACAAUUUCGGCAGGGGAGGAGGUGGGGGAGAUAUUGAGUUUGUAAAUCCCUAGAUCUAACCAUCCCCAAAAUGGACUAUUGGGGGUAUGAUUUUGAAUUUUUUUAAAGGUGUGAUCUCCCCCCCACCACCCCCACCCCCGCUUUUUCCUUUUUGUGUGUGCAUGGUUGAUGUAGAUCACUAAGAUGGAUAGAGAUGAUGUGCAAAUUUUCAAGUCAAUUGGAAUUGACCCAUGAGCUAAAUCUUUAGAAGCAAGUUCAUGGGCCUACAAAAAAUCACCACACGCAUACACACACAUUCCUCAAGCUAAAAAGAGAAAAAAGAGAGAACAUCUCAUAAUCCAGGAGGCACAAAUCCCACAAGUUGCAUGUAGAUAAGAUGGUAAGCUGAACAAGAAGUGACUAUAUUUUAUCUUGUAUGUAAACAAUAAUUGCAAUAAGAGAUAUCUAUCAAGAACUAACUUUUCAGCAAACACAGGACAGAAAGAAUUCCAUUAGAAACUUUCUACCAUUUUCAAUUCUAGCAGUAAUAGUCUUUCAACAUAAAUAUAGGAGCAGCACCUAAUAGAUAAUACUAUUAUACUAGCAAGCUAAAGGUAUCAAAGCAGUCCCAUCACAAGUAAUACAUAUGAACUGAGCAUUAGUGUGAAACCAAACAAUUGAAACAAAAAGAGCAUCAAAACAUCCCCAUUACAAAUAAUCCAUACGAACAGAGCAUUAAUGUGAGACCAAACUAUUGAAAUAGAAUUAAGACUUCUCAUAUGCCAACCUUCACUCCUCCGGGGAAGCAGAAGGCAGGAAGAUCCUUUGCCCGCAUUGCCAACCUCUUUCCAGGAGGAUACUUAAAAAGAAUCUGAAAAUAGAACAAACAAAGGCCCAGGAUAUUGAUGAUGCAAAAUUAUUAAGCAUGCAAAGCAGCAAUAACAAUCAAAAGCAGGAGCUAGACCAUGCCAAAACAGGAACCACACAAAGGAACCAUUUAACAUUAUAGAAAUGACCUCCAAAAACAAUCUUCUCAAAUGCAACCUCAACUAAAUAUACGUGACAAACUUCUUAGUUCAAUGAAAUUGGUUCUUGUACGCUCCAAACAUAAAAAUCCAAAUAGGAAGCAAGGUUCACAUUUCUGAUUUGAAUCUUUUCCAUACUAUCGUGACACUAAUGAAGGCAGCAAGGACAAUAAUGCAGGGCAAACCAACAGAUACCUUAUGAGUUAACAUCUAUUGUACUUCAUUGGGUAUUGUUUUCUGUCUCGAGAGCUCUAAGCAGAUGAGCCAUAUGCUCCAAAAUUUUCUGUACAAAGCAAUGGAGAUGAGAUAGGUGUUUUGUUAGUUCUCGAUGCUUAUAGAGGUCCCCAUUGAUUCCAAAUUGAGGCCCACAAACUAUUUUAAGUGGGUGGACAGGGCCCCUCAAGGAGUAUAAUGUCCACAUUAGAGAAGGUAUCUCGGAAACAAGGAGACUAUUAAGUUGCAUGCAGAUUAGGUUGAGGGGAAGCUCUAUUCCAAUAGUAAAGACCAAUGGGACAAUUUGGAUUACAGAUAGAUCAUGGGUUUUUCAUGUAAGUGUUCCCCUCAUAACCUUACAAAUUCUUUGAUUGGUUUUGUCUAGUGCAUCAUGACCCCACCAAGGUUUUAGCACUAUUGUAUUAGAUUCUCAUAAUGGAAAAUAUGGGAAGAAAGAACAGUAUAUACAUAAGUUGCAAAUAGUGCAUACAAAUAUAUAUGUAUGUAUAUCUUGCCUGAAAAUUCCGAGAAGGGAAUAUUUGUAAUUUUAAAUUUGCUUUAAAGAUCCACUCAUUAUUCAAAAAGUCAAAGGAAUCUUUUUAAAUUUGAAGUUGAGUUUUAGAGGGAUUUUGAAAAGACAAAAAUACCCUUCCUAAAAUACAUGAACUAUUUAUAGUCAAAAAUCAUUGGUCAACACAUGGAUAUUUUAUGGUCAAAAGUUUUGGAGUAGUAAAUUUUAAAAUCACCAUUAUUCAGGGCCUGAUUAAAUCAUAUUAAACAUGAAUUGGGAUUCCAUAUAUCAUUCUCCACAAGAAUUUUGAUUUAGUGGGGAAGAGGAGAAAUUCAUCAUCCCACUCCAAUAUGAUCAUGGGAGAAGUUACUAACUCCUCCUGGUAUUGUGAUUAAAUACCCAUAAAAGAUAUUUUAUAUAAAAACAGUAUUCUUGCCUAUUUCGACGAUCCCUAAUACAGAACAAGCAAUUCAGGAAAUGCCAAAUAUGGGACCAUAGAUACACCACACUAAUGGUGAUUUGAGAAUUUACCACUUCAAAACUUUUAACCUAAAAUGCUCUUAUGUAUUCAAAAACUUUUAACUACAAAUAGUUCAUGUAUUUUAGGAAGGUUAUUUUUGUCUUUUCAAAAUCCCUCUAAAACUCAAUUUAAAAAGAUUCCUUUGACUUUUUGAAUGAUGAGUGGAUCUUCAAAGCAAUUUAAAAUUAUAAAUAUCCCCUUCUCGAAAUUUUCAAAAAAGCUAUUGGUAAUAUAACUUUUAUAUUUGUAAAGGCAUUUUAUUGUCAAAAAUUUUGAGGAAAUUCUAAUUUCACCAUUAGUAUGGUGUAUUCUAGAAUAUCCCAUAUAUACAUUAGAUAGAUAGAUAUAUAGAAUAGAGAGAAAGAGAGAGAGCGAUAGAGAAAGAAGGAGAAAGAGAGAAGAGAAGAGAGAGAGAGAGAGACGGGGCGGGGGGAGCAGAGGCCAGAAGCCAAGGGACAAGAGCAAGUGGAAAAAAUGUAACAAGUGGCUAUCAUAUACCAAGUUAUGGGGCAUGGAACCGUCAACAAGCAGAGGGGGCGGGGGGAGCAGAGGCCAGAAGCAAAAGGACAAGAGUAAGUGGAAAAAAUGUAACAAGUGGCUAUCAUAUACCAAGUUAUGGGGCUUGGAACCGUCAACAAGCAGAAACCUCCACAGCACUCAUGAGCCAAAAAUGAGAAGGACAUAGGGGAAUCAUUUCCAUCACAAUUUCCACUUUCUGUGUUUAUUUCAUGCAUAAAGAUUACGAGGAGACAACGGAUCAUUUACGCACCAAUUGUUAGGUCAAAGAAUCAUUUGGAGCUGCUUCUCAAAGCUGUAUGGCAUACAUGGGAUGAAGCCAAAGAUGGCAAAUAGCAUACGAGGUUUGGCUCCCUUCCCUAUUAGAGGGUGAAUUCCUUCGAAGAUGCUCACCAUUUUAUCUUUUGAGGGAUUUGAAAGAAGAUAAAAACCAACCAAAAGUAUUCAGAAGUCCUGCAACUAAUAGAUAAGUGAUAAAGAAGAACUCGGGAAUCGGUAACCCAAUGGGAGCAUGAAGGUAGAAAGACUCAAGAUAUUGGGCAAAAUAAAUUGAUACAAAAAUAGAGGGUGGUUAGGCUUAAUGAGAAUAUGAACUUGGGGCCCGAUUGGAUCUCUGGAAAAAUAUUACCAAGAAAUAGUUUUCUAGGGAGAUUGCUCAUUUCCCCCGGUUGGAUCCAAAAUCUGGGGAAAUUUUUUCUGCCAAAAAAUCAUUUUCUCUACUUUGAGCCCAAAAUAGAGAAAUUGGUUUCUCUCUACAAGCUAAAAAAUCAAUUUCCCUGUCAGAUUUCCUUACAGCUGAACCAAAAAAAUUAAAACGAGUGUAUUGCAAGUUGGGCCCAGAGAAAAAAGGGCAAUCUCUUCCUCUCUCUCUCUUUCUCUCCCCCAACCAUCUUUCUUUCUUCUCAUUCUCAAAAAUCCUUAUAUCUUUGUUUCUUCUUUCUCUCUCUCUCUCCUCUCUCUCUCUCUCUCUCUCUCUCUCUCUCUCUCUCUCCCCCCACCCCCCCAUUUAUAUAACUCUCCUUCUACUUCCAUCUUGCUCUAGCCAUUUCCUUCUCUCUCUGUCUACCAUAUUUUCCUCUCCAGAGAUUCAUUGCAUUUAACCCCUUUUCAUGAUAAAAAUGUAUAUUUCAUGGUGCAACCAAAUGCUAUCCAAACUUCCAAAAAUCCAGUUACAAGAAAUAUUUUUCACAAGAAAUGCAUUUCACAGGAAAUGCCCUUUUUCUAGACGAUUUUUCCAAGGGUUCCAAAUGGGGCAGACAUUAUGGUGCAUAGGUCUGUGGAGUUGAACUUCAAUAGCAGUUUGCUUGCAAUCCGAAUCAAUUUAGAAUAGGAAGCUUGUUCAAAUAAUGCAAAGAACUCUUAGACGAGGCUUUUGCAGUUAUUCUAGCUGUUUACAACUGUACUGCAACACAAAUGAGAGUGCUCAGUUAUAAACCAGUUGAGAUUGUUCCCUUAGCAGUUUCCUAGUCUACUACUAGCCAAAGGUGAUCCGUUGAACAUGACUAGGUGGGAGUAUGACAUAAGCCUCUACACCCAUGGAAGACAGCAAUUCUUUAACCAUACUAAUAGGGAAGGCAUCGGAUUACUUCCCCAUGAUUAUUUAUUUAAUAAACUUCCUUCCCAUUAUUUGGGGUUUUAAGAGCGAAGUUGACCUUCAGGAAAAUAACAGAACUACCUCUUAAUGUGCCAAUAACAUGCAUUUGCUAUGUAUCAAGAUGUAAAUGUUCUCCUUUACAAUGAAUGAAAAGCUUUAAGACCUAUCCAAGAAAAAAGGAAAAAAUAAGGAUGCAACCAAACGUUUUGCUAAUAAAAAUUAUAUUAAGCACAUGAGAAGAAAAGGAAUAAUAAGCAUUGCAGGUAGACUAAAAAACACAAGGCAGGCCUAGGUAGUUUCAGGUCCUGACUCCUGAGUGCCUAGGCAGCCAACUUGAGUUCAAGGCCCAAAAAAUAGAAAAAUAAACAAAAAACAAAAAAUGUGUAUUUUGCAUUUUUGACAGGUAAUAUUACCGAUAUUGUUUGUCCAUGAAUUUGGUAUUGGAUUAAAUGUUUAUCAUGCAGCUAUGAGUGUUGUGUAACUUAAGUGUGAUAGUGUAAGUGAGUGACAUUCAUUGAAAGCGGGAGUGAGGGACACAGGCGAAUUCUCAAAACUGCAUAACAUCUAAGCUAAAAUUCAAACCUGAGGUUCCAAAGCAGGGAGGGGAGGACCACGGUAUUGAAGCUUUGCGUUUCUUAAAUCUAUUAUUUCAGAUUUCGCCAUCUCUGACUCCCAAGUCUUCCUUCUAGCAAAUGCAUCUUCAGUGGCCUCAACAUUGGCAUUUGAAUGAAGGCCCACAAUGACAAAGUGCUCAAAUAGGGAUGUUGGUUCACUAUAUUGUUUGCGCUCCUGCAUAAUACAUAAAAGUAUGAGCCAACAAAAUCGAGUGAUAUGAAGGCAAAGGCCAAAUUAAUGAUCAAGCACCACAAAUCAUGAGUGUAUCACCCACUAAGAGAACACAUACAGUAGUGAAGUCCCAAUAGAGCAAUUGUACCCUAUAGCAGUGGGACAAAUAUUUUGGUUGUGGGUCUACAAUCCAUAAUCUGGGAAUAACAGAAACAUAGGCAUGCAUACAUGCAAGCACAAGCACAAGACAUUCACUAUUUAUCUUUUCCGAUCGGCAAGUAACUACUCUUGGCACUCAGCAAUAAAUGAAUGAAUGACAAGGAACUCUACAAAGUUAAGUGAAUAAUAUUUUAUGAGAACAAGAUAUUUAUGAGACGUUAUACAUCAGUGGAAAAACAAAUUCAAAGCUAGAAGCAAUUUACCAGUGCAUGUGAGUGGAGCUGGUACCAUUGACGCUUUUGAUUUGCCAAAAUUUCGGGAUUGAAGGAUGAUUUGCCCCCUUGAUCUCUAGGAUUUUGCCCCCAUUUCCAGGCCUUUUGCAUUUGGCGCUUCCAUCUUUGAAAACUGUUAUUCUCUUGCUUGGACGAAAUCACAGUAGAAGGUCUGGGACGAACACUCUGUACAGCUUCAACAGCCACCCUAGCAACCUCUUCUGUUGUUGGAUGUAAAACUGGGGAAACAGAAUCAUUUUCUCUCUCUAAAGAUUCCAUUAUAUCCUCAUGCAUUCAUUCAACUUGUUGCUAACUCUUAAUUCCCACUAAACAAGAGUUUUUAUAUCCUUCAACUAGUCAAACAACAAGCCAUGGUCCUUCCCCAAUGGAUCAUGAGAACUUUAAAAUUGAAACACCAAGUGUUCAUAAAAAUCAACCAACUCUGAGUAAGGAUACACACACCUUCAGAAUGCUACUGAUUCAUAUCAACCCUGCUCAUAAUGAACUCCACAUGUAACACUAAAAACAUCCAAAGCCAACCAACUUUUCAGUUAUAUCGCGUCCCUAAACUCUCAUGAAACCCCUCGAAUUAAAAGCUAGUCUAGAAAAUCCAUCAGAAAGGAACACUCUCAAGACCCCAGUGCAAAAAAUGGAGACAUCCACGAAAACAAUCUUCUUCAAGAACUACCCAAUGCUUCACCCAAUGAUACUCUUCUGAAGCAUAUGAUCAAGUCAUAUAACCCGACAUCCAGAAAACCAAAAAACCAGUAAAAAAUUCACCAGCUAAUCUUAAUCAAUCUCUUAUCUUUGAUAUAUCACAAAUAGGAACUCGCUGGAUAAAGUCAAUUCCUCAAAUUCUCCAAGCCCAGAUCCAUACCCAAAAAACUCUUCUCCUUCAAAGCACUUUCUUGUAACAUACAGAAAACUAUCACAGCAAAUGAGUCGAGAUACCCACCAUAAUCUCGAAAACGAAAAAAUGUGUAAUUAAAAGAAUAUCUCUCAGAGAAAACCAACCAACAAAAAACAAGUUUCUCAUAAUCAUUCCCUUAAUUCUUUCGGGCACCCAAAUGACCAAAUAAAAUACUCAUCAAUAUGAAUUCAUUUUCAAGCACUGUAAUAUUAUCUAAAUGUAGUCCGAAACCCACAAAUGUUUUUUUUACAUCCUCAUGCAAGAGCAACCCAUGUCUCGGAUCAUUCAUAUAUUGCAUAUUCCUUUGUAAUUAUCAAAGUUACUCAACGAAACGAGCCUGGGAAACCCAAUUCCAUGAAAUUUGCAGAGAAGCCAUGAAGUUGCAAGGAAUUGGAAAACACCAAAGGCAAAGUGAGAGACACAUGACCGUACAAUGGGCGUGCUAAAAAUGAUACAUCAAGAAGAGAGAGAGAGAUAUUGGGACGGUGAAGAAAGAUAGAAAUUAUCGAAAAUAAAUGGAGCGAUAAGUGCCUUUGAAUGGUUAGCAACGUUAUGGGCCCUGUCGUCCGUACAUACCUCCAUGGCUGGUAGGUGCAAGGUCUAAUUUUCCCUCUCAAGGUUCUCUCCCUCCCUCACCAUAGAUUCUCUCUCAAAGUUGUCUCUCUCUCCCUCUCUCUCUAGAAUCUUUAUAUCAAGGUUUCUCUCUCUUUGCCUAUUGGUAAGAGCUUUAAUGGCGUCUUUUGUUCUGAGUAAUUACAGGCAAUUGAGAGGCGAAAAAAGAAGAGAGAGAUAAAAGAGGAGAGAGAGAUAAAAGAGAGAGAGAGGAGAGAGAAAGAAGGGAGAGAUGCAUGCCAAAAAUAGGCGGUCAGAAGGGGGGAUGCACACAUCACAUGCCUCUCCUCCUUUUCUGGCUUUUAAAACAUGAAAUAUUUUAAUUAAAAAAUGAUAUAAACUUUUUUUUAUUUUUCAAGUAAUAAAAUAAAAAAACUUAGUAAAUAAACGCAGAAAAGGGGGUCUUGACUGCAAUAAAUUGGAGAGCCAGACUUUUUGAUAUUUUAAUUUUUGGGAAAAUAGAGCAUCGCAUUUUCUAGAUUAAGAUUUUAAAAUAAGUUUAUGCAUAGACUUCUCUAAUAGAGUGAAAAUGUGGUUAAUAUAGAUAUUUCAUUUUAAAAACAAAGUUUAAUUUUUAAUUGUGUUAAUUACCUCAUCAUCACUAAUAAAAGGUAUAAAAAAUAAUGAUAAUUUUGAGUUUUAAAAGAGUGAGAUCUAGCAUCCACAAAAGGAAAAACAUGAACUUCUUGUUCAAAAAACUAUAUGUUUGAUAUUUUAAAUUUUAUUUUCCAUUUGAAGAAAAAUAUUCAAAAAUUUGAUACAAAACAAUGCACCCAAAGUCUGACUUACUUAGAGAUCCACCCAAGGGCAAUUCAAAUAUUUUAUCUUUAAUUUUUUAUAGAAAACUUAAAACAGGAUGUGCUUUUACUAAUGAUGAAUAUCAACUAUAAAAACCCUAAUCUUGACUGUUGAAUUACCAAAAUACCCUUAGAAUGCACUUGAUCACCUUCUUUGAGAAUAUCAACUUUUUGAAGUGUGAUAAUCAGCAUGCAAGCCAUGUGAACAAGUACAUAAAAUAUUGGUCAGAAAAGCAGUCAAUUUUGAGAAAUUAGCAAGUAUGGUUCAAACCCUAAUUCUAUGUUUGUUUUUCUUGGUAGUAAGUGAUUUGAGUCCAACUCCUGAGUGUAACUGCCCUCAUAUCUAAUCUACAAAAGCCAAGUGGUCAAACCUAGGGUUUCUUUUUCCUCCAGGUAGGUGAAUUAUUUAAUAUUGGAUAACAUAUGCAAGCUUUCAAUAAUAGUCAAGCACACUAUGAUUUUCCUAUUAUUAUUCAUUUCACCAUCUAAGGUCUAGGGCAUAAGGCAUCAUCACCAUCCAUCUAGUGAUGGAUAGUCAUGUAGGGAGUGGGACCUACCACUAGGAGUCAUGUCCUUAGAGCUUAGACUGGAUUGGGAUGGCACAUUAUCAUAAAAGGUAUGUGGUCAUAUGGAUCAUAAUAUAGUGGCAAUUCUUUAGGGGUGGCAAUGGAUCCGGACCCGAAUCACGACUCGAGUUCCGAAUAUAAGUCAAAAAUUUGGACUUUGUGGGUUCUGGUCUUUUUCAGUUUCCAAUAUUUAAAUAUAAUUAAGUACAUAGAUGUUUUAAUUUUUGGGUCAGGUCUGUUUAGGCCCGGACCCAACCUGUUGCCACCCUAAGUUUCUUGUUUCGAAACACAAAAACUUGGGAGACACUUGGAAAUUUCAAGGGAUUGUAUGCAAUGAGACCAUUUCUUAUAUAAGGUGGUCACAAUUAUAUACAACCAUCAGAUGUGAAUUUUGAAAGCUUGGGUGUGUCAUAAAAUUCGAGAAAAUUUCUUUUGAAGUUUGAGCUUGGUCAAUGGAAUAAAUAUAGCCAUCUAAUUUCACAUCCAAUGAUCAAGAUUAAUUGUGACUACUUUGUACCAAAAAUAAAUGGUCUCAUUAUAUACUUUUCUUUUCAUCAAAUACCUGAAUAUAUAUAUUGUAGCCAAUGGAAUAAGGUGGGUUAGGAGGACAUGAAUUUAUAUUGUCUUUGAUUAACAAUCAUUUUUGUCUUGAUAAAAUAAUUUGCUUCAAGAAAAUACUGCCAAAAAGAUGGGCCUAGUUAGAUAAGAUCUGGGCCUAUGGACUUAUUACCCACGCAUUGGGAAUAUACCCUUUUCAAAAUGUUAUAAAGUUGCUUAUAUCAAAUCAUAUUUUUAGUUGGAGGGAGUAAAGAAACAAGAUACCAAUAGUGCUCUUAAAUUUUCUACUACUUUUAAGUGAAGAGCAUCAUAGCCACUGCCACCAGGAACAAGACCACUUGCAUGAAUUGUGGGGUGUGGUCCAAAUUCUCCCUUUAUAAAAAAUGUAUUAUGUGCUCUUCAAACAAUUUGCUUUGUUUUUUUUUUAACAAUUGAUAAUCUAAACUUGGGAUGUACCAUCUUUUUUCUUUCUUUUGUGUUAAUGGUAGGAAUCAAACUUAAGAUGUAGUGUUGUAAACGUAAUUGCUAACCAAUUAAGCCCAAGCCACAUUCUUUCUUUUUACAUGUCCUCUAUUUUGUUAAAAAUGCAUAUUUGAAUCCCAAUUUCGAAUUCACAAAGUUUAACACUCAUCUGUGCAUUUUUUUACUUUUUGUUUUCUUUUACUAUGUAUGUACUCUUUCUUAUGCAAGUCAUAAAAAUCUCUUCGUCUUUUCUUAUGAAUUUGAUGUGGUAUUUUUCAUUAAAAAUGCUUUACAAAUUUACAAAAGUAUAUUCAUAAAGUAUUAUAUAGGAUAUUUUAGUGAUAAUCAUAGGGCGAUAUGUUGCUCCUCUACCUAAUUCAUACACAUCUCUGUUGGCUUCCCUGUAAUAAUGUUGAACUUAGAUUUCAUUUCUUUACAAUUUCUUGAAUUUUCUAAUUUUAGGCAAAAGCCUCAGAAGAAAUAUCUCAUUCUCCUUUAAACCAUAUGACAAUAUUUAGAGAAUCUCAAAAUUGUUAAAUAGUUUUAACCCAAGUAGAAUGAAGACUUCUACCUCAUUGGCUGAGACACACAAGAAUCGCAAUCUUUCUAUGGUCUUAAAGGGCACCUCUUAAUCCUUUUAAGCUCAGAGUAUCCAUUGAGCUUCCAUCAAAAUUCAAUUUGAAUUUAAAUAUUCCAUUGGGUUUUUUUUUCAAUUAAUUGGGAUUGGCUACACAAAUUUUGAUCCGCCGUUCAACUACAUAGAUGCAAGAUACGUGUACCAGAUCGAAAUUGCUAACAUGGAAUACUUUUUCUUAAGUCACACUCCCUUGUUUAGGGUUUCACAUUGUGAACACCUAACAAAAAAUAUUUGACCUAAAAGUGAAUGUUUGUAUACGAAAAGGUAACGAUCGUAAGGCCGCUGCUUGCCAAGAAACGCAUGCUAAAGUAAUAUUAUGGAAUUGACAUUUGAGUGUGUAUGCUAUGCUCUUUUGGGAGCAUACUUUACAUUUAUUCCCGCAGGCAAGGCACUUGCUUGGGCACUUUUUUUAUUUUAAAUUUUGGGAUAUUUAUAAUUAUAAAUAGAUGAUCAUUUUCAAAUAAAAAUAGAUUUUGAGUUAUUGAACAUGUUGAUCAUUCCAUCCAAAAAGUCGAUGGUUCUAGUGCAAUUUUGGGGUACCAUUUUUUUUUAGUAAGAGUUUUUUGUUUUUUUCUUUGAAGUUGGUUGUCGGGUUCUAGAGAUUACAUCCCCAAAAUUUAGGACCUUAAAGUAUAUUUCUAAUAUAAGUUUUGCCUGAGGGAGUAUGUGGAUAAUAUACUCAUAAAUCUCUUAGUUUGAGAUUAUUAACCACGUGAGAUUAAGGAGGGAAGCAUCUUACUAUUGAGAUAACUUCCCUUGAAAUGUUUGCAACAAAAAUCUAUUCAUCUCUUUCUCUCUUAUCCCAAAUCCAUUGAAGGGCAAAAUCUAUGCUUUCAAUGGCGAUCACAUGCAAUAGUACUCAGCAAUUACAAAACAAAUGCCUAUGCUAUGCUCCUUCACGAGCAUCUUAACAUCUAAUCCCUUAGUUAGCAAACCUACUUAGGGUUUUUUGAAAAUGACCUAAGAAUCAUUAGAUAAUUAUUUUCAAAAGAAUUUUUUUUGCAAUUUUGAGUUAUUUGACGCUUAGAUUUCAUCCUCCAAAAAUUGAAUGGCCUCUGUUCCAUCUUGAGACAUUAUUUUUCUUCAAGUGCAUAAAGAGUACAAUCAGAACAAAAAAAAAAAAAGAACUUUGUGUCGAGGUUAGUCCGCAGUAUGAAGAUUUUCAUCCUCAAAUUUUAAAAUUACGCCUCAAUUGGGUUUUACUUGAGAGAGUAAAUGAACAGUAAAUCCUGUAGGAACGAAAAACAAAUAUAUCAUAAAAAAUUAGUUGAGCUGAAUCGUAAAACAAUAAACGCAUGCGUAUGAGAUAAAGAUGGCAUGUCCUAUUCUUUGGUGGCAUUUUCCACGCCCUGGUUUAAGAAUAAGAAAAGGUUAAAGUGGUCCCAUUCCAAUGGAGGGCAACGGCAUGUUGUUGGUUGGAAGGAUGGAAGACAAUGGGUCCACAUGCGGGACUACAAUACAUGAACAUCCCAUUGUGAUGUGAUAUAACCAAGGUCCACCUUUCUAUCUUGGCAAAGAUUUUGUUUCCAUCUAGAGAGGGAGAUGCCAUCUAGACUUUUGACCAAACUUGCUAUCCUUUGUGCUAACUUACCACCAAAUUAUUCAUAGUUGUUGUCAAAAUUGAACAUGAGCUAGUCAAGACUCAAGACUGGAAUUUUUAGAUAAAAAUAUAAAAAGUAAUAGUAAGAAAAUAAGAAAAAAAAAAUGAAUAACUCGCUCUAUGUAAUUAUAAUAUAAAGUAAAUGCUCAGGUUUAUAUAAAUCCCAUAAAUCCUUUCAAGUUAAAAGAAAAUGAAGUUUAACCUUUUUAUUUUCUAAAUUAUAAUAUUUAUCUUUUUGUUUUUUCUAAUGAUGUUGUUGUCCAAAUCUUAGAAAUACUCCCUCUCUCUUCCUCACCCGUGAACCUCUUACUACCUUUUGUCUUUACAAACUCUCUUGAACCCUCAUCUCACUCUCAUCUCAUGAACCUCACAAGUAGGUUAAAAGAUGCAGACGACAUUCGAUUUGUAUGGUAGGGUUAAUUAAAAAAAGAGAACGGGUAAAUGUUGUAAUUUGGAUCCGCAAAAAGACAAGAAAUGAUUAAAUAUCUUUCUCUUUUAACUUGGAAAGGAACCACAAACUCUCUAUUGACCUGAAGUUUAUUUUGGAUUAUGAUCAUCGACAGGAUUAUCUAUAUCUUUUUUUCAUAAAAAUAUAAAAUAUCUUACAACAAAUACCCAAUGUUUUUAGGCAGCAUGACAUGUCAAAAGCAGUCAUACUAGCCAAAAUUAGUCAAAUAUUGAUUUUGACCAAUUUUUAUAGAAUUUAAUUUUUUUUCUCGAAACAAACCCGCGAAGGAACCAUUCAAUAACUGAUUGGUUGGGCUAGUCAGUCCAAUCUAGUCUUGAUAAUAUUAGUAGCCAUAAAAGCAAUCAACUAUUGGAGUAGAAUUAUCUAUGAGCUUGGAGCCAUUUGGGCUUUUGGGGCUGAUGCUAGACAGGUUGGCCUUGAGCCUCAUCCUCCGACCCAUAUUAUCACCCCCAUUCCAAAUUUUAGGGCAUGUGUUUGGAUGCCAUUUCAAACCAUAAUUUAGAUGAUUAAAGCAUGUAUAAUAAUAAUAAUAACAAUAACAAUAACAAUAAUAAUAAUAAUAAUAAUAAUUAUAAUUAUUAUUAUAAUAAUAAUAAUAAUAAUAAUAAUAAUAAUAAUAAACAACCAGCUAUGUAACCAUCUAAGAUGUGUGGAUGCCCAUGUCAUAUAAAAGAUCAUCCAUGGUUAGAGGGCUAAAUCAUAAAUGAAAAUAAAAUAGGUCUUACCCUUCCAUUUGUCAUUCACAUUUUGCUUAGUGUAUCGGUGGCUGGUGCUCAUCUUUCUUUGUUCAUUUCCAAGCUCUCUCUCUCUAUAGGACCUUUCUCUCUUUCUCUAACUCAAAACUCGAUGCAGCCAUGCCCCUUUGUGACUAAGCCAAAGAAGGGGCGCAGAACCCAAGAGGGAAAGAAAGAGCAAUGACAUAAUAAGGAAAAAUUAUUAGGGUUUUUUAUUAUGAUUAUUUUAAUUAUUCUUUUGUUUAGUGAGUGCGCAGGGAUAAUUAGCAGAGCAAAACUUUAGAAUUUAUAUUGUGUUUAUCUUGUAUCGAUUGGGGUAAUUUGAGGGAUAUAAUUAGGAUAAGGAUAAAUUUAGAAUAGAGUUUAUCUUUAUCUAACCAACUUGAGAGGUUUUUUUUGGGUAAAACAAGAGAGGGAAAACGUGGCUACGUAGAGGCCCAAUUUUGGCACAUGAAUAUGAAAGAGAGAAAAUAAGGAUAGGUGUAGACAGAAGUUUUUUUAUUAGCUAUCUUAUUUUAGUUUAUUUAAAGGGACAUCUCCUUUCAUUGUAAAUAUGUCUAUUAAUUGAAUAAAAAUUGGUCUCUUAAAAGAGAUUGUUUUGGGGGUAGAUUCCCUUGUAGAUCUUUGAGAUAGGGUAUUUUUUUCUCAACCUUCCUUCUUUUUAUUGUCAAUUUCCUGGUUUUAUUCUUUUCCUGCAUCAAUUGGUAUCAGUGCGGGUUCCGAUGGCCUCACAAGAGACACCCCUCGAUGGAUUAAAGGUAUUGAUUGGAUUAGUUCAAGCCCUAGCAGAGAGAGUAGACCAAUUUAUGCCUAUAGCUGCAAAAGUCGAUGAGCUUGUGCAAAGGUUUGCUCAGCUUCAGGAUAGAAGGAAUCCGGAGACCGGUGUUGGAACUCAAGGCAACAAAGAUGAAAGAGAUAUGUAUCUUGUUCUUAACUAACCUCGGGUGGCCCCGGCUAAUAAUGAAUUCAAUGAACGAAUUCUUCGGUUGUUGGAAAGAGAAAGAGAACCUGGAAUAAAACUUGAUAUUCCAGAGUUCCAUGGUCGAUUGCAUCCAGAUGAUUUUCUUGAUUGGCUAAGUAAAGUAGAGAAAGUGUGUGAGUACAAAGAUAUUGCAGAUCACAAAAAAGUAAAAUUAGUAGCCACAAAAUUUCUAGCCAUGCAUUGGUUUAGUGGGAUGAUUUGCAACAGGAUCAUCUUCGACCAGGCAAGGAAAAGAUUAAUUCGUGGGAAGAGAUAAAGACAAAGAUGCGCAAAAAAUUUUUACCAGUAAAUUAUGCCCGAACUUUGUACCAAAGGUGUCAAAACCUCAAGCAAGGUGAAAAGUCGGUAAGUAACUAUACUGAUGAGUUUUAUAUUUUGACAUCUAGGGCAAAUUUACAAGAGUAAGAAGAUCAAAAAAUUAGUCGUUACUUGAAUGGGCUAAAUCAAUGCAUUCGACUUUGAGAGAGAUAACUCAGUGACAAUAGGCUUUACUUCAAUACACGGGCAGCAAGCUUUAACCUUUAGAAGGCCACUUAUAGGGUGUGGAAACCAAACCUCUCAGAAUUUCCCAACUAGGUCAAACCCUAAUAUGGGGAGAGGUGGUGUUGGGAGAGGGCUGGGAGUACCUAAAACACUUCGUGAUAAUACACAAAUAGUGUGUUUCUAGUGCCAACAGUCUAGACAUAUGGCAUUCAAUUGCCCCUCACGUCAACCCCUUGUCAAAGUUAAUUUGACUGAAGAAAAUUGUGAACAAGAAGUUGAUGAAGGAUACACCUAUGAAGGCCAAUGUGAUAUUGAGAUGAGCCAGGCUUAUGAAGGGACUGAGCCUUUCAAAGGUGAAGUUGAUGAUUUGUAUGGAGAUAAAGAGAGUAAAGUCUUAGUUGUCUAGCGAACUAUGUUAUCAAACCCAAUACUUAACGAGGAUGAGAAGUGGUUGCGACAUAAUAUUUUUUCGAAUAAUUUGCACAUCAAGAGGCAAGUUAUGCAUAUUACUAAUUGAUGGUGGGAGCAAUGAAAACAUUGUGUCUAAAGAGAUGGUGGCUAAACUUCAAUUGAAGGAAUAUAAGCACCCACGCCCAUAUCACAUCCAGUGGUUCAAGAAAGAAGGUGAGGUACCAGUUCUUACUCGUUGUUUAAUCUCUUUUUCCAUUGGUGCUAAUUAUAAAGAUAAAGUGUAGUGUGAUGUAGCACCUAUGGAUGCAUGCCACAUAUUACUUGAUAGACCAUGGCUUUAUGAUCAUGAUAUGGUGUACAAAACUAGGCCAAACACUUACUCUUUUGUUAAGGAUGAUAUUAAUAUAAUACACCCAAAUCUACUAAAGAGGAGGGUUUAAAGUUGCUUAAUGGUAAAAAAUUAAAAGGGGAAAGCACAGAUAUGGAUGUGAUUUAUGUAUUGGUUGCAAAAGAAAAUUUUGCAUCGAUUGCAAUUCUUAGGUCUCUUGAACCUCUACUUGAUAAGUAUAAAUAUUUGAUGCUUGAAGAAUUACCUGAUGGUCUUCCUCUAAUGAGAAAUAUUCAGCAUCACAUUGACUUGGUGCCCGGAUCUAGCCUACCAAAUUUGGUCCCUUAUCGAAUGGGCCCCAUGGAACAUGAGGAGUUGCAUAGACAAGUUGUUGCUUUGCUUAAGAAGGGAUUGCUUCGAGAAAGCAUGUCACCAUGUGCCGUCCCUGCAUUACUGACUCCAAAAAAAGAUGGGUCAUGGAGAUGUGUGUGGACAGUGGAGCAAUCAACAAAAUUACAAUCAAGUAUCGAUUUUUUAUACCUAGGCUCGAUGAUAUAUUAGAUAUGCUUAAUGGAGCCAAAGUUUUCUCAAAGAUUAAUUUAAGCAGUGGGUACCAUCAAAUUCGGUUUCGUCUUACAGCUGAAUGGAAAAUCACAUUCAAAAUUCGAGAUGAACUAUAUGAGUGGCUUGUGAUGCCAUUCGGCCUUUCUAAUGCACUAAGCACAUUCAUGCGCCUAAUGACUAAGGUACUUCAUCCUUUUAAUGGCAAAUUUGUUGUGGUUUAUUUUUAUGAUAUCUUGGUUUUUAACGCUAACCCACAUGAUCAUCUUAAUCACUUGGAACAAGUUUUUGAUGUGCUAAGGAAUGAAUCACUUAUUGUGAAUUUGAAAAACUACUCAUUUAGGACAAACAAUGUCGUCUUUCUAGGGUAUGUUGUUUCAUCUGAUGGAGUUAAGGUGGAUCAAGAAAAAGUGAAAGCCAUAGCUGAGUGGCCGGUGCCAAAGUCACUCACUGAGGUGCAUUCUUUUCAUGGCCUAGAGACCUUUUAUCGUCGAUUUAUCAGAAAUUUCAGUACUCUAAUAGCACCAGUGACUGAUUGUAUGAGGGCUAGGCUGGAAAGAUUUCAUGGAGUCUCGCUGCUGAAAAGAGCUUCACUCUAAUUAAACAAAAGAUGAUGCAAGCACCAGUACUUGCCUUACUAGAUUUUUCUAAGGUGUUUGAGGUUGAAACUGAUGCAUCAAAUGUUGGUAGAGGGGCAGUUCUAAGUCAAGAGGGACGACCAUUGGCCUUCUUUAGUGAGAAAUUGAAUGAUGCACGUAAGAAGUAUUCGAUUUAUGACCUCAAGUUUUAUGUAGUAGUGCAAGCCUUACACUACUGGAGGUACUACCUGAUUCAUAAAGCGUUUGUUCUAUACUCGGAUCAUGAAGCACUUGGCAAUAGGUCGGAUCGAGUUCGGGUCUGGCUGGACCCAACACAUACCCAAAAUUAUAAUGUGGGACCUGAACCCAACUCAAAAAUUAAUAUAUCAAUAUAUUUAAUUAUAUUUCAUAAAUUGGGACUCAAAAAAUACCACUAGACUUGGACCCUGGCCGAAUAGUGUUCGGAGUCAAGAUUUGGACCUUGAUCCGACCCAUUGGGUUGAAUUUUCGGACCCUUAUCUGGGCCCGGACUCAGAUUGGAUCUACCCUUGGAGUCUCAGGUUCCUGGUAGGGUCUGGGUCCGGGUCCAUUGCCACCCUAGAACAAGAGGCAAUUUCAGAGAAAAAAUAAAAAAGUAUAACAUCAAAAUAAAUUACCCAAAUAAAUAGGCCUUUUCAUGCGAAUCCAAUACAACUCGGUAGCGAUGUGAGCCAAAUAUCUAUACUCAGACUAUGUAUUUGACCUAGCAAUAGUGGGUUAUUUCUUAGCACUCUAAGAAACGACGUUGCUACCAAAGUAUACACAAUAACUACUUGUCGACCGGCGAUCAUCCGAACUGCCAGCCCAGCCCGCAUCAGAAUAAGCAACAAGUUUUAUUUGGCCUGACUGAAAGUGAAGACACUAAUUAAUUGUGCCUUUAAGAUACUAUAUAAUGUGCAUAAAUUGACACACUUGAUUGUCAACAAAAGCAAUGCUGGAAUGUGUUAUUAUUAAAUAUUGGAGAGCACCAACAAUACUCCGAUACUCAAUAUCAUUUGGGAGUGGAUCGCCUGUGUCUUUAAAUAAUUUGCUACCAGCGAUAGUAUGAGUCAUGUAAGGUUUGGCCCCACUGAUUUUGGAUUAUGCAAGUAAGUCCACAUUAUAUUUAAAUUGACACAAAGAGAGUCCUUUAGAUGAGUGGCCUCAAUACCUAAAAACCAAUCUAAGGGCCCAACGCCCUUGUAGCAAAGAGGCGCCCAAGGUCAUGGAUCAAUAUAUUUAAGUAGAUGCCACCAGUGCCAGCGAUAAGAAUGUCGUCGACGUAGAUUAGAAUAAGGAUGAUAGUGUCAUCGGUCAAGCAAACAAAUAGAGAGGAGUCGGCAUUGGAUCCUACAAACCCGAGACAAAUAAGAUAUUGUGUGAAUCUCUCAAACCAAGCUCGGGGAGCAUGUUUGAGACCAUACAAUGCCUUGCGAAGGCGACAAACAUACGUAGAAAAUAUGGGAUCACUGAACUAUGUGGUUGCUGCAUAUAUACUUCCUCAGAUAUAACUCGUGCAAAAAUACAUUUUAAACAUCAAGUUGUCAAUUGGCUAAUUAUGAGUGACAACAAGCAAGAGAACCACUUGAAUGGUUGUAGGUUUGACAAUUAGGCUAAAUGCGUCUAAGUAAUAUAUGCCAAGUUGUUGAUGAAAACCCUUGGCUACUAGGCGGGCCUCAUUCCUCUCAAUAGUCUCACUGGUUUGUGUUUGAUUUUGUACAUUCAUCGACAUUCAACCAUAUUUUGGUUAGGGUGAGGUGACACAAGUACACAUGUUCUAUUUAUAAUGAGUGCAUCAAAUUCACUAGCCAUAACCGCCCUCCAUUUUGGUAACUUCGUUGCAUGAGUGUAGUAUAAUUAGGAUUGUUUGAAAGGCAUCGAACCACGUUAAAUUAACAAAAAAUAAAAUCAUAUAUAUAUAAAAAAACAAGCAGUUCAAUGUUUGCAACAUUAAAAUGGGGAGAGAGGCUGGGGUUGUGGUGGUAGCAUCCCCACACCCAAUUACCACAUCGUGGUAUCUAUUCUUACCUCUGACACCCUCAAUUAACACAUUCAAAAUGUAACUCCCCAAUCUAUUGAAAAAAUGGGUUGGGGCCCGUCUUCCCCACUGGAUUACCCAAAAAAAAAAAACAUUAAAAUGGGGAACAUCAAAUAAGGGACAAAAUUGGAAGAAAAAAUAUAUAUAUAUAUAUAAAAUGGAAUAUGGACAUAAAUUUAUUAAUAAUAUGGACCAAAUUAUAAUUUUGGUAAUAAAACUCGGCCAUACCUAAAAUGUUUUUCUUAAAAAAUGAUAUUUUCCUCAAAUCUAGAAUUCCAUACUCACUUUUGGACACUUGAUAACUUAAUUCAUCGCUAUAAUGUCUUUCUGCCAAUAGCUAUUUUAGGUGAUUAAUAAAGGCUAAAUUAGAAAAAAAAAUUAUCUAUAUGAAAAUCUUUAUUAAUUAGCGUGUAAAACACUUUUUUUUUUAUUAUUAUUUGUUUUUUUUAACACUAUUGUGUAAAAAACACUAUCCCAUUCAUGAUCAUCAGCAUUAGGUGCAAGUGCAAUAAGUAAUUUUCAACAACUAAGGAGGUAGAAUUGUCCUAUUUCAAUGACAAAAAAAAAUGGUUUAAAGGUUUUUGAAUUAAAAGCAAAGAGUAUUAAGUAAAGUUUAAAAAAAAAAAAAAAAAAAAAAAAAGAAAAAAAGAAAGAAAGAGUAUUGAGUACGUAAUGCAAUGUAUUAUACUGGAUUUGGAGGUUUUUUGGUUUGGCAAAAAAAGAGAAGAGUUUCUGGCUUAGGUUGAUUCAUGAAGAUAUUGGUUUAUUUUUGAAAAUUUUUAAAUAAUUCAAAAGAAUGUAAAAAAAAAAAAGACAAAUGAUGAACUAACGUAGGUUGAAUUUGGCGGCUAAUUGACCAACAUAAGAGGAUUUUUUCUCUUCUUUUUUUCCCCCAAAUAUUAAUAUUAAAUAGUGUUAUUUCUUAUGAAUAAUAGAGGGAGAUUUCAUUUAUAUAAUAAAUUUGAUUAAAAUGAAAUUUCUAAUAUUAAAAAAUAUGGCUUGUCUUUGUGGAAUGAAAAGCUAGAGCUUUGCAGUUCUUAUAAUAGUGUACAAUGUUUGUAGAAAUAAUGUUGUGAUAUUCUAUGCUGUCCAUUUUACUUGGGUGUAGAUUUAACAUAUCUUUUAAAAUAAUAUCAAUACAUUGUAUGUCUUUUAAUAUAGUGUUCAAUCUAUAUGUUCAAAUAAAAUGGAUGAUGUAGAUUAUUGCAACCUUAUUUGUACAAAUAAGGCUGCAACCUUAUAUGAACUUUUUUUCUUAUUAGCUUUUAAUAACUAAAAAGGUUCAACAGGUGCUUCAUAAGUUAGACAGACAAAUAGAGUGCUAUCGUGCUCCCCCUUGAGCAUGUUGCACACUUAUUUCUCAGGCAAAAAACUUAGGGCAUAUUAUUUCGCGUAAAUAUAUUUCUCGAGAAAUAUUUUCAUAUGAAAGAAUUUCCUCAUGUGGUUCGGUGUGUGAAUAUUUUCACACCAAUUGGUCAUACUGCAUCGUUUCACACUAUUUGGCAACUAAUUGGUGUGAAAAUAUCCACACACCAAACUACGUGAGAAAGAUUUUUUUCAAGUGAAAUUAUUUCUUGAAAAAUAUUUUCACACAAACCAAACAGGUCCUUUAUUAGAAGUAUUUUCUAUGUUUAAAGUUUUGGGAUCCACUCAUAUGAGUAUUUUACCAAUCUUGACUUUCUAAAUAUUUAGAAUUGACCAUCCAAAAUUAAGACGGCAUCCAUUCAAUCUUAGAAAGCCGUUGUUUGCAUUCACAUAUAAAAUAAAUAUGAAAGACACAUUUUGAGGUUGGUGCUUUGGUUUGAGAAGCUCCAUCAAGAAAUUUUGAGAUCUUAAAAAUACUCAUAGGUAAUGUUUCCACCCAAGAGACCUUACACUCGAGGGGGGUACAACCUUAUGACAACAUAAACAUAGAAAGGGAUUCUACUUGGCUUAUAAUACAAAGAAAUGGAUUCACACUUCCUCUUAGCUUCCUCCUGGGUUAAAAACUCGAAGCCUUAUUUAAACUCUUAUGUCGUGUUUGAUUCUAGAAGAUAUGGUUUUGAAAAUCGCGCCUUCUAGGUAGUGGAUAUCAUAAGUUCUAUAGGUGACCAAGAACUUAUAGUGUCCACUUUUUAAUGUGAAAAUGAAUGUACAUUUAAGGAAAUGCUACCUCUUAUCAAACAACUAAGUGCUAUAGUAUUGGAAGACGUAGUUUCCAAAACCGCGUUUUUGAGAAAUCAAGCAUGCGCUUAGCAAAGCAAACUAUUCUAAUAAGGGUGUGGUUUCUAUAAGGUUGCAACCUUAAACAAUCCAAUUAAAGAGCACCUCCAAAUUUUAUCAUAACAUGUAAUUUUGGUGUAAAAAAUUCUGAACAAUAUCUCAAAAUCUAUUUUUAUAUCUAAUUAUAAAAUGUUAACUCCAAAAAUGGUUAAAAUCAAAUAGAUCUAUAAACAUAUGAAAAUCUUGAAAAUGGAUGGCCUAGACAAUGUGUUGCAAGAUGCACUAUUUUUGGGACUCAAAAUAUUUGUUUUUUUCAUAUUCAUACAUCUCGAUGUCGAGUGAUCAAUUAGAGGGUUUGUUAACAUUAAAACAACAUUUUCUGAAGGAUUCUGGAGGUGCAUCUUUCGUUCUACAUUUUAAGGUUGCAACCUUAUAUAAACUUUUUCCUUCUAAUAAUUGUAAAUUGGUCCAAUUCAUCUUAUAAAUGUAAAUUGGUCCAAUUAAUUGGAAAUGGCCUAACAAAAGCCAAAAUUCUCACCCAAAGUUAAAUAGAACCAAGAGCUGCGCCAUUCAAUGGGAGGAAAAAAACACUUGUUUGGUGCUCAAUUUUGUUAUGCAUAAAUAAGUGUUUUUAAAACGCAUUGAUUUGGAUUAGGAAUCUCUUAACUUGAUUUGAUAAAGAAUUGUUCCGGCCUAAUCCUCCUUAAAAAAAAUGAACCUCCCUCUCUAAAAGUUUAAUAUCAAAUAAUCCUCUAGCCCUAUAUAUAUCCUAUGGAAACCCAAGUUAAACAAAAAGUGACAUUUAACCUCUCUUUUUUUUUUUUUUGUAUUUUUUUUUAUUAUCUAAAUUACAGAACUUAUUUCUUUUCUUUUUUUUUCAAUCUAUUAUCUAAAUCAUGGGAAAGCUCUUCUUCUCUCUCUUUUUUUUUUACCCGUGUACCUUUCCUACCUCUGAAUCUCUAGCCACCUUCCCUCGAUACUUGUCUUUUUCUCUCAUCAUGUAAACCUUAUAAAUAAGUUAAAGGAUACAUUACAAACUCAAUUUUUAUGAUGAGGUUCUUAGAAGGAAAAAAAAAAGGAUAAAUUUGGCCAAUAAAAUUAAAAAAUGGUAAAUCAUUCGCUUUUUCAAUAUUUUCAAAUUUUCAUAAAUCCGUUCAAUCUACACUAUUUUUAGGAAAAUUAUCACAAAUAUACCUUAAUUUUUGUCUAUUUAAGAAAAAACCUUCAACUUUCAUAAACCUCGCCUGCACAUUACCGUGAAGCCGUAAAAAUUAAUUCAUGUUAUACGGCAUUUUAAGUACUGUAAAAACUAAUCCAUGUUAUAUGGUAUUUUAAGUACCAUAACAACUAACCCAUGUUAUACACAUUUUAAGUACUGUAAAAACUAACCUAUGUUAUAGGGCACUCAAAAUGCCGUAAACCAUUUUCUCAUAUUCAUACUUUAUCUCUUUCAUCUCUCUAAUUUUUAUUUUAUUUUUUAUGUUUAUCUCUUAUUUCUUUCUCUAAUUCUUUUUAAUAUUUGUCUCUUCUUUCUCUCUCUAAAUAUUUUAUCUCACUAAUUAUCUUUCUCUCUCUACUUACUUCAUCAACUCAACAAACACGAUUCCAACACGAUACAAAUAUGACUCCAUCUAAUUUUCAUAGGGGAUGGGGUUGUAAGGAGUUUUUAUAAGGGAUGGUAAGGUAUACACAAGUUGUUAUACAAAUCUCUUUAAAUAGAGAAAGAAAGUUAGAGACAGAAAAGAUUUAGAAAGAGAAAGAAGAGAUAAAUUUUAAAAAUAAUUAAAAAGAGAAAAAAUAGAUGCUUAUUAAAAAAAAUUAGAGAGAGAAAUAAGAGAUAAACAUAAAAAAAUUAGAGAGAUGAAAGAGAUAAAUAUAAACAGAUGAAAGAGAUAAAUAUAAACAGUACCGUUAUAACUUGGGUUAGUUUUUACCGUACUUAAAAUGCCAUAUUAUAUGGAUUAAUUUUUACCGUACUUAAAAUGCAGUAAAACAUGAGUUAGUUUAUUAAUUGUGCUUCAUAGUAAUACGACUACUAUGAAGGUUCUUUUGGUCAAAACAAACACCAAAGUUGAAAAAAAAGGGUGUGGGUGAAAUUUAUAAAAGUUAAAGGUUUUUUUUUUUAAAAUAGACGAAAAUUAAGGUAUAUUUGUGAUAAUUUAGCUUUAAAUUUAUAAUUAAAAUUGAAAAUAUAUAUUAAGGCUAUCACCACAUCUCUCGAUACAAAUGCGCUUUAAUUUGAUUGUUUAAGGGAAAAUUACAAAAAACCCUCCAAAAUAUACUUUUUAUGCAACUUACCCCCUAGCUAACUUUUUCUCUCACUUUUUUCCUUAAACAAACUUUUUAUGCAACUACCUCCCCAAUAGAAAAAGUUCACUUUUUUUAGAAGAAAAUGCCUUUCUCGUAACACAUUGUUGGAGCGCACUUAAACAGUGCCGGAGCUUUGUGACUCAGAAUGCUCCACUGUCGAAGCAUACUUACGUAGUGCCGGAACGCUGUGUUACACUGUCGGAGCGCACUUACACAGUGCCGAAGUGUUGUGCCGUUCCCGCAGCACAUUUAAAUAGUAUCGGAGCCCUAUCACUCAGAACGUUCCACUGGCGGAGUGCACUUAUACAGUGCUGGAGCACUAUGUUACACUGCUUAAGCGCACUUAUGCAGUGUCGGAAUACACUUACACAGUACAGGCGAGAGACGUGAGUAAAAGGUCGAUUAAGGGUAGUUUUUUUUUUUUUUGGUUUGCUAAACAUUAUUUUGUACAAAAAAAAGUGAGAGAAGAAAAUUAAUUGGGGUUGCGUGGUAAGUUUUGUUUGGAGGGUUUUUUUUUUUUCAAGUUUUCCAUUCUUUAAAGCCUGGGCUCCAUACAAACUGCACCCAAAACAUAACAUAAUUUUACAAUAGGUUCACAAGAGCCACUUCACCUAAUCUAUUCCACCCAAACCACCAUAUUUGCCCGUUCGGUCCAAGGGGGCCACCAUCCUAGAGAGAGAAAGCGAGUUUCUAGGCUUAUUUGCCAGGAGAGAGAGAGGGGGGUUUCUUUACAGAGCCCAAUCACGUCAAUCUCUACUCUCACAUCUUAGAGAGAGAGAGAGACUCAAUUUGUGCUCUUACAUCUUAGAGAGAGAGUGUUCCGUCCACUCACAUCUUAGAGAGACAGAGAACGAUACGAGAGAGCAUCUCCCUCUGUGUCUUGACUGGUGACUACAUGUGACGGUGCAUUCCAGAUCAAAGUUUCCUUGAAACUUUCGUGGCCACAUCUCUCGUCGGGCUUUGCCAUUUCUGGGUCAUUUUUUCUCAAAAUUGUGCAAAACCAGACCACCCAACCUCAUAAUCUUUCGAUCCAACUCGUGAAUUUGUGAUAGAAAGACUCCCCAUUUCAGGAAAAACAUGGUCGACAAUCAUGGCCAUGGUGCGCUGCAUGCUCUCACUGGUUCAUCUUCGUGGAGGUCAAGGCUUUCUUAUCGGAACGCUACGGUCCUUCUUUGCUUUUUCAACGUUGUCACCAUUAUUCUCCUGCUUCAAUGCAUGUUUGCCCCUUCAAACAAGAAAUUCACUAAAAACCGGUAUGAAUCUGGUAGGUAUUGUUUUUCAUUCCUUUAAUGGUGGUUUUUACUGGUGAAUUUUCAAUGUUCAGGUUGUUAGUCAUUCUUCUCUCCAUAAAGUCAGCGAUAAUUGUGAAUAUAUAGAAAUGGUAUUCGCUAUGGUUUUACCUACCUGUUUAUGUUUAAUUUACCUUUUAUUGGAUUUUCAGGCUAUUGUUUGGUUCUUUAUUCCUUUAAAUGAAUAAAAUCUGGGUAUUGGUGUCUUGCUUUAUGGAGAUUUGAGAUAGAUCAACACAUGUUAUCUCUGAAUCAUGAACUUUUCUUAAUAAUCUGAAUUGUGAUGUUUCUCUGGAUAUGUUACCUAAGAAAUAUCUUUGAAAAAAUCUGUUACAGAACAGAAGGUAUUCUCAUGUGCAAGUUUCCUUUUUGCUAGUUUUUUGUGCUCUGAGUCUAAUAUGUAUCUUAAAGUUGUCUUUGUUUCUUUUAUAUAUCGGGAUUUGGGGAAAUGGGUUUAUGAGAAGCAUAUGUGUUUUUAAGUGUUUGGAGAAGAAACAGACAUUGGUGUAGUUCUUUUUGUUUUCCUGAUGCUGAGGAUUUUGGGAUCUGGUUCCUGAUUUUGAAUUUGUGGAACUAUCAACAUUUAUUAAACCAUUGGUUCCUAAUAGUUGAAAAUUAUCAUGUUUUAAGCCACCCAAAAUAAUUAAAUUUGCUAGAGGACACAUAAAUAACUCAAGACACUUUUGCUUUAUUCUCUCUCAGUUGAUUCCAAAAGAGUGUAACAUAUAUUUUCUAAAAGGCUCUAGUAUAAUGUAAUACUGGUCGGUAGGAGUUGGUGGUCAUCACAUAUGAACUGUUGCAUAUUUUCGACUGGCAAAAGAAAAAAAUUAGAAAAGAAAGAAGCAGAAAAAUAGACUGAUUUUCCAUCUGUUACGUCUGUUUUUUGUUUAUCACAUGAUUAAAUGUAGAGUAUUGCAACUUCUAUCCUAAGGUUUUACUUCUCUCCACAGUUGACAGUUACAUCGCUUCCUUCUGAAGUAAAAUAUAGAGCAAGAUAAAAGGAGCACUUGCCUUCACAGUUCUUCUUGUAACCUGUCACCUAAUGCUUAGAGAGCCACUUUUUUGUCUCCACUGGUGUUGCUGAAACUGGACCCUAACCAGUCCCCAAACUGUUAUGGACCCUAAAAUGCUGAAUCUUUUUUGAAAUAGCCCUCUAAGUUAUUAGUCGGCUGGUUUGGGAACUUGAUUUAAAUCAUUCAAUGAGGAUUAUUAAUUAUAGAACACGUUUAGAUAAAACUGGCAUUGGAAACGUUUAUUCCUGGAUAAACUGGCUGUUUCUACUGUUCUGUACCGAAACCUGAUCAUGUGGUUUAUAUAAUAAAUCAGAAUAGAAGGGAAGAAUAGAGUUAACAGAUGAGACUGGUUAGUUAAAGAUGCUCUCAUUGGAACUUGUUGGUUUAUCCCAGCCAUUUCAAUUGUUGGUAUUGUUUAUUUAUCAAGAACCUGGUUAAUUGGCCAGUUUUAGGUGGGCUGGAAUAGGCAUUGUAAUUUCUGAACUGAUAGUUAUACUCUGUCACCGUGAACUCCCAGUUUUUUUGUUUUGCAAGGCAGUGUUUUAGCUGAUUAAAAACCAUCCUUAAAAGUAAUUGCCUGAUCAUGUGAAUUUACUACAUUUUUUCUUGGAUUUAAAUGUAGCACUUUAUAUUUGUUAGACAUGCAGAUUGGUAUAUGGGUUUGCUGGAGUAUUAAUGGGUUUUUAUCAUCAUGUUUCAUGUAUUUGAUUUGAUGGCUUUUGUUUUUUAGCGGUUGCAAACUGAUAGCACAUACAGAAUUCAUAUUAUUACAUGUCUGUGUUUCAACACUCGGGCUUGCCUGGUCUUGACCCAUGUCUUUUCUAUGAUUUAAAACUUGGCCAGUGCUUCACUCGAAGUCGACUAGGGCGAUCCCAAGUCUUAUAACCCAAAUUAAAAACCUUAUCAUUUUGUUAAUUACAAAAAAAAAAAAAUUUGAAAAAUUUCCUGAAUUAAUUCAAAUGGCUUUUGGCGUAUGAAAAGGAUUUUUUUGGAAACAGACUUAAAAUGGUGAAGUAAAAGCUUUACAAGAAAACAUUUUCACUAUCAAUUACGAGAAAACUUUUUCACUAUUAUUCAUUGAUAGUAAAAGCAAAUUUCUGCUAACGAAAUCUUAGCAAAUCAUAGCAAGCAAUUAAGGGCAUGAAAAAGAAAGAUAUGCAAAGGAACUUUAUGAUAUGUGAUGGAACUCUAUGAUAGAUAGAUAGUCCUUAUUAGAUUAUUUCUAGUAAGACAAGGACAUUUCACUGGAUGAAUAAAGUUUGGCAUUAGUUUUAUUUGAAUAAAAUUAGUGCAAUACAGUUUUUUUCUCUGUUAUGGAUAGUCUUGGUUAUAUUAUAAAUAGGAAAAGCAUAAAUCACAAAUUGUACUUCAAAAAUAUUUGUUACAAACUACAAGGGAGUUACAAGGAGAUGCUUGAUUCUCAUCCACCAUAUGAAAUUAUUAAACAGCUAAAAUAUAGGAAACCAUUUGUGCUGCAUUAAAUAGAACAUCAUUUGUAUAUUUGUAUAUGAAAUCUCUACUGGAAUCCAGUAGAAGUCUAUCCAAGAAAUCUUUUACUUUGGGAUUAUGUUGGUACUUAAAUAUGUUGAACUUAUUUUCUUCAUUUUCUCAAUAAGUAAGCUAUUCUUCAUAUUUUUUGCGAGGUUAUAUUAUUCCCUUUGAUAGCAUGUUGGACUCUUAAUAUUGCUUCCGGAACUCGCUAGUUGUAAUCAUUUUCUGCCAAUUUUGAAUGCAGUUCAGUUGAGAUAUAUCAGAGAGUCUGAAGCUAUACGUCGUGCCAUGGUGCCUUUGGAAUUGAUUAAGAGAGUAAGUUUUUCUGAAACCGUUCCUCAAGAAAAUGAAAAGAACGUGGGUGAAUAGGUAUCUUUAAUGGAAAAAAUUACAUUUUGAUUAUAAGCCAUGAAAAUUUAUUUGAUUAGGUGAAGGAAAUCCAACAAGAACCAUACAUCCAACCAGAAACAGUGGUGCAGAGGAAAGCACCCAAACAGAACAGUGCUAGUGAUCUCUCUAAGAGGUUGAAGGAUUUGCAGGCGUUGAAUGAUGCAAAUAGUAAGAAAGGUGAUAUUCUUGGGCUCCAUUAUAAUGAAUAGGUUAUGACCCUAAAGGUCACCAUAUUUCAUUUGCUUGUCAUGAAAACCCUCGAAGUUUGUCAAUCAACUAGUUUGCUUGAAUUGAGUUGAUUAGAAUGAACAAGUAGGUUAAAUUAAGAUGGCAUGGUUAAUGUCAUUUUGAUCCGGGGCCUGUUUAUUCAAUAGGAUUCCACAGCACUUCGGUUUAACUGAUUAGUUGUGAUGGUUGAACCAAGAGGUUCUCAGAUUGUGUUAUUGUUGGAUAUUUUUGGCUUUUGAGUAUGGAUUCAAGGCAUAAUGUGACCAGCCUUAGUCAAAUCACAUGCUUUUCUAGGCGACGUACAUCAGCAUUUGUCCAUUUAUCACACAUUUGGAUAAAAGUGAUCAUGGCCUACAAUGCAUUUAACGUAUUAAUUUUGCAAAAAUGUAACUAGUAGAUUAUUAUUAUUGUUUUUUAAAUUGAUGAUUUAACUAUACCUGUUGAGACACGAAUUUGAAUUUUGACUCAUGCAAUGCAGCCAUGCCAUUAAGUUUAUCUCGGAAUCUUUAUAGUAUAAUGUAAGGGUGAGAUUAAUUAUGUUUGACCUUGUUAUUACACCAUUCUAAGGAUUCUUUCCCUUGCUGACAUCUGAAUUAUUGCAUGCAUAUCUAUGCAUCAUGAUUCAUUUGGAAAUCAACCCUGAUUAAAAUUGACAUAGCAUAUAUUCAAUGAGACCUCAACCCCUCAUCUCAUGGAGGUGAGAUUUGAGGAGUGACUUUUGAACUGUAGGCAACUUAGAAAUUUGCUUGUGCAGGCACCAUGACAUUUUGUUGUUAUAUCCCUUCAUUUUGCGAUCAAGAACGCAUGAGGUCAAGUGGAAUCCAUUGAAUGGAUUUUUGGGUAGGGAAUGCCCUAUUCCAUUCUCUUGUGACCUACACGCUCCAACGGAGUAGACCGGGUUGAUUCGAUUGUUGAACUUGCUGAGAUAAAGUUGUCCAAUUAAUUGAAAUAUUUUUGGAUAAUACUUCAUAAUAUGUGGGGUUUUGAACUUUCAGUUUCUAUUUGGUCAACAUGAAUCCCUUGCCUGUAGUAAUCUGAGAAAACGAAGGAAAUCCUCAAAGUUCUCUUAUUGAUGUGAAAAGUACAUAUGAUAAUCGAUAUUGCAUUAACUUAUAUUGCAUUAACUUAUGUAUCAGCAUUAUAUUAGGUUAGGAUCUAAACUGGUGGAAGAAUUAAUCAAAUCUGGUACCUAAGCUUGCACAAUUGCAGUAGUCAUUAAAACUUAUAAAGAAUAUUAUAAGCUUUUACAUCUCACACAUUCAUAGGCAGCUGUGUUAGUUUAUUGAAUAUAGUGUGUGUGGACAUGUGUAUUAUUUAUGCACGUAUAUGUAACAGAAACUAUCUCACUGACAUCAUCAUAUUUUUCCAAAGGGGGAAGGUUUCAAAGCAUAUAUUUUCAGCACAUGCUUAGGUUUGAUAUUUCUCUGAAAUAAGUAAGCAUAAUAUCUGAAAUUCUGAGUAUGGGGGUUUUGGCCUGCAGCUCUCGACGAAUGGCGUAAGAGGAAGAUGGGCAGGGCAAAACAAAGAGAGAUGGAAAAGAACAUGACAGCGGCUACAUAGCGGUUGCAUUUAUUGGGAGUGGGAGAUUCCUUCACCAUGUUGUUUGUUAAAUGCUUGCUUGUAUUCGAAAAAUGUGUAAUAUGGAUUCUGAAAACUGAAGACUGUGAUAUCAUACUUAAUGCAAAAUAAUGGCGUGUCUCAUCCAUUAAUGAUGGAUCCCCAUUCAUGAAAUUUACGAAAAACAGAAUUAAGAGAAGCAUUUUCCUUUCCAAGAAUAAUAAACAAGAAAAAAAAAAAAGCCCUAACUUUAUCCUAGCAUUUGUUGUCCUGCUUGGUUUUUCAUCCCAUGCAUAUGUACUGGAAAAUGGGAAGGGGAAAGGGAAAGUGAAUGAACCGCGACAAAAUGUGCCAUUAGGUUUUGAUUUCUUAGGUUAAUCUUGAAUUCUAACUGAAAUUUACCCAAACCAUUCUUACAAGUUCAACCCCUUGUAAUUUUUUUAAGGAAAAGUUCAACCUCUUGUAAUUGCUACAGCUUUCAGCUCAAAAAGUCAAUCUACAACCUCAAAUUACAAAACAUCCCUUUUACAACACUCUAUUUGGUUUAGAUGAUGGGAUUAAUCUCCAAAAACUGCCUUUAAGAUGAAGAUGAAGAUAAUACAUUGAAAGGAAAUUGCAACUUCAAGGGGGAAAAACUAAGAUUUCAUGGGUGAUUCUUUAGGAGAUUAGGCGACCGAAUCCUCUUCAUCCUCGAAACUCAAAUUCAGAGUCUGUAGCUUAAAGCCUGAUCCCUGUAUAACCUCAACCAGAUUAGAGGCCACACCUGUUGCCUGAACUGUGGUCUGUUUUGUGAGCUGCAUUUGAUGGAAAUUGUUUUUAUCAACCCAUGUGAUCUUAUGGAGAUGAGAUACCAAAUUUCAACACUUACAUAGCAUUAAAAAAAAAUUGACUGACUAAAUUUGGCAACAUGCACGAUAUUAAAUCUCCGUAAUUCUAUAUUUCCAAGUUGCAUCAGAAAAAUGAUGAACUCCCCAUGUAAAACAGAGAGCUUGGCAUGUGGAUGUACUUCCAUUGGCAAUAUUAGUUCAGCGAUUUAGCUUCUAGUAUUAAUACUGGCUUCUAAAAAGAAGAGGAAUUUCAAAGAAAACCGACAUCAAUGUUCAUACAAGAAAAGAAGAAUUUCAUAGAAACAAACAUCAACUGUUAGACGAAGAUUGUCAAGUUUGUAAAAGUCUCUCAUUUCUCCUUCUAACUAAAGAUGAUGUCAUUAAAUACAAAGCUAGUCUCUCUCUCUCUCUAUCUCUCUCUCUCUCUCUCUCUCUCUCUCUCACACACACACCAAUGAAAUCUGAUUAACAAAUCCAUGUUCCAAAACAAAAUUCAAUCCACCGGGGUGACUAAUGUAGCCGCAGAGAGAAAUCUGGAGAACCUUUUUUUUUUCCUGACAGAAAUUCAUGCAACCCUAACAAAACUAAUCCUUAUUCUUGAGAAAAAAACCAGAUGAAUAUGUAUCUCUAAUAAGGAACCAUUUAUUUUUGUAAUCGGAACUUUCGAAAAAAAGGGGUUACGAUCCAAAGUUUAAUAUGAACAAUAAUUGACUACCUGAAGGCAAACAAGGAGAAAGCCAGUAUUAUAACGAGAAUUCAACUAGCUUAGCCCCAAACACGAAACAAUUACACUCAUCAUUUAGGUAAAGAACUCUUACCUCAACGGAUGCAAUGCCCUCAAUGGUCUCAACUUUUAGCUCACUGAUGCCUUCAAUACCCUGCACAUGGGUUAAAUAAUUAGUAAGACAUAAUAUCUCCAUGCUUUUCUUUAUUAGUAAAUGAUAAAUCUGUGGGGAAUUGGAGCAUAUACCUCUAGUGACUUGGUAAUAGCAGAGAUUGCAGAUUCAUCCAUUGUUCCUUCCGCCUUUCGAUACGUGAAGAGAAGAUAGAAUAAAUCAGUUGCAUCAAACCUAAAACAGGCGACCAGAACUAAAGAAAAACUAUUAAAGAGCACAUUACAGAGCAAACACUGGUUCGAUGAUAAGAGUGGAAAAGAAGAAAUACAGAGCAAAAAACAAGGAUGUCCAAGUUCAACCCUCCAAAAAUAGUGCCAACAAAGAACAUUCAAUAGAAUUAUGAAUUCUCCAAGCAAAAGAGGGUGUGGACUGAUGACAUAAGAACUUGAUUCCCUAAUCUCUCAUCUACAAUUGGUUUUCUUGUUCUUCCAUCAUCACCAUCUCUCUGAUAUAGACGCACUGUAUACAUCUCUGGUUAUCUUGCUCCUGAAUUCGUAUUUAUACUUCAUUUCUACACCUUCAUGGUUAAUUAACAAUCACCUUCCAAGGCUUUUGAAAGUGUGAAAGAAAUGUCAGUCAACUUAUUUACAAGGUAAAAUAAAUUCUUCUUAAAAAUAACAAACAUGUGUUUAAGUCAAGCCUUCAGUAAGAUUUAUCCAAAUUGGAUCUCAAAAUCUAGUGCAUUUAUGCUGCUAGUAAGGUGAUCAGAGUGCAGGUCUGACAUUUUAUGAUGUCUCAAGUUCUUUUUCCAAAGGAGUUUCAUGGGAUUAAAGUGGGGUGACCUAGUUUGAACAGUCACACGUAUUGACAUUUUAAAAUUGGGUGUGGUUUGCAUAAGGUGCCCUCCUUAUACGGUAUAAGUAAGGUGCAUCUCUAAAUUUUGCCUGGAGAUGUAAUUCUGAUAUCGAACUCCUUACGAUGGCUUGAAAAUCUAUUUUCAUCUCUCGUAACUAAAUUUCCAAUCCCAAAAACGAUAUACUGACCAUAUCUAUAAACACUUUGAGAAUCUUGAAAAUAGACUGACUAAAUAAUUUGUAGCAAGAAAUACUAUUUUUAGGACUUGAAAUUCUUUCUUUCUUCAUAUCCAUCCGUCUCGAGGUUGAGAUGAUCAAAUUGGAGGAUUUUCCAACGUCGGAACACUCUGUCCUAGAGGAUUAUUGAGGUGCACAAUAGUAUAAAGUUGACAUACCAUUGACUGGGGCAUACAUCAACUUACUUCCUUCCUCCAACCAAAAUAAAAGCAAAAGAAAAUUAAAUUUAGCUCUUCAAACAAUGAUAUAGUCUCUCUUCUCCUCUGAAGAAACAGAAACUGAAACAAAUACUGGAACUAUCUUUGGAUGGCAAGGACAGUGAAUCUUUUCAGACUUGAGAAAAUGAGUUUCUUUUUUCUUUUUACUUUAAAAAGAAAUGUGUUCUUCUUUCUAUUUGAAAAAGAGGUUAAUUAUACUGAAAUACUAUCUGAAAUCCCCAAAAUUCCAAUUAUGAAAAUAGUCAUAAUGCACUGCACCCAACUGAUACAAAAUGCCAAGUGAAUGCCAUUUGUUUCAGACCUUUGUGUGAUAUGGGAUAUACACUACAAUUUCAUAGUUACAUGAAUUCUAAAAUUUUGAAGUUUCUCUGCAAAUAGUUUAGUCACAAAAGAUGAAAAUAUAAAUGGAUGAGAAAUCAGAAGGGAAGUAUUAAUAGUAAAAAAAUAUUCAACAAUUUCAAAACAUGCUCUAUGAACUGUAUUUUUACCAAUCUAUAAACACAUAUUUCCAGCAAGCAUCCAUUUAUUUAAAUGCGAAUUUACAUUCAGCAAGAGUUUAAGAAAAAACAUUAAAACGGAACAAAAUCCAGAAAUACUAAAAAAAUUCUAUUUUUUGGAAUAAAAAAUAUCGUGACAUUUUGAGAAUAUUGUUUAAAAAAGUGGAUACACUGCAAAGUCUUGAAUUUCCAAACCUUGCAGGAACUUAGGAAACACCAUAAAGAGAAAUAGCCCAAAAUAAAUAAAUAAAUAAAGAGAGAGAGAGAGAGAGAGAGAGAGAGAGAGAGAGAGAGAGAGAGAGCGUACGUACCUUACUACGUACGUACGUAACUUACGUUAACGUUUACUACUACUAAAUUAAUUAGUACUAUACGACACGACUAAUAGUACGUAGGUUUAGGGUUUUUUUACGUUUAGUUAAAUUAACGUNNNNNNNNNNNNNNNNNNNNNNNNNNNNNNNNNNNNNNNNNNNNNNNNNNNNNNNNNNNNNNNNNNNNNNNNNNNNNNNNNNNNNNNNNNNNNNNNNNNNNNNNNNNNNNNNNNNNNNNNNNNNNNNNNNNNNNNNNNNNNNNNNNNNNNNNNNNNNNNNNNNNNNNNNNNNNNNNNNNNNNNNNNNNNNNNNNNNNNNNNNNNNNNNNNNNNNNNNNNNNNNNNNNNNNNNNNNNNNNNNNNNNNNNNNNNNNNNNNNNNNNNNNNNNNNNNNNNNNNNNNNNNNNNNNNNNNNNNNNNNNNNNNNNNNNNNNNNNNNNNNNNNNNNNNNNNNNNNGUAGAGAGAGAGAGAGCAGCGUCAACCUUUCAGGUCAAAUUCCGAAGUUUUUCAUCAAAUUUAAUGCAUAGACCAGCAAUUGCAGAGGGGUUUUUUUUUCUUGAAAAUUACAGAGGAAAUUCAUAUAUAGAAAGGGCGUUUCAGGGACCCAUCAAAUUCAAUCAAAAUAAAAAAAGGAAACAGUAGAAACACUAGAAAAACAUCAAUUCAAAGGAGAAGAAGCCAUUCUUUAACCUUGAAGAACAUGGUGAGCAUAUCUGAAGGCAAAACAGGAACGGCGACUGGACUCUCAGCUGGUGAAUCUUCGGGAACUAGGGUUUCCUCAGCAACUGCUGCUCUCCAUUUACUUUUGCCACAGAAUCUCUUGCUCAAGACACCCCAUUUCUUAGAAUGAAGAGACAGAAGAGAUACAGAGAGAGAGGGAGAAGAAGAGAGAGAAGAGGAAGAAAGAGGAGAGAAUAGGUUGAAUUGGGGAGUUUUGGCAGUGGCCAAGCAGGCAAGAGGGAGAGUCGCGGCCAUUUUCGGAAGACGUUGCUCCCUCUCUCUCUAUCCAUCCACUCACUGUUAUACUCCCGGGUCCAUUAGCACUGUUAGAGGGAGGCAGCGUAGGAAACGGGUCAGGUCGUAUCCGUGCCCAACUCGACAGGACCCGAUCCGACCAGGUCUACGUUAGACUUUGACCCGGUUCAAACCAUAGCUAGCAACUCGGGAAACAAUAAUAUAUCUAUCGAGGUGGCGACGGGUCGGGUAGGGUUUAGGUUUAGGUUCGGCUGGACCCAGACUCGGACUUAGACCCGAAUAGAUUCGGGUCUAAAAGUUGGACCCAUACUCAUACCCAUCGGGUCCCAGGUCAGAUCCAUUGCUAUUUUAGGUGUUUUUUUAUUUUAUUUUAUUUAUUUUUAUCUCUUUUUACCAUCAUAUACUUAUACUAUUGGCAACAAAUUCACAAUCCUUUGCUAUUAGAUUUCAAGCCAUUUGAUUUGUUAUUUAGUAGUUAAAGAUGACUACGAGUCCUUAAUGUAUACGAUUCUUAAUACACCCAAAUGAAUAUUGUUUGAAGUAUUUUAUCUCAAAUAUUUACAGGUAUGGGUCGGGUACAGGUCGGGUCCAACUAGACCUGGACUUGGAUCCCAAUAGUAUCCGAGUCUAGGUUUUGGACUCGGACCCGACCUGCUGGAUCCAAAUGUUGGAUCAAUACCCGAACUCGUGUUGGGUCCAAGUUUAUUGCCACCCCUAUAUAUCGAUAAACAUAAAUAUCGGUAAUAUAUCGGUUUUAUUUUAAAAAAUCGGAAGAAAAAAUCGAGUUAAAAAUUCGGAUUGACCCAAAAUAAGAUAAGUUAUAAAAUUGUGAAUAUUUCGGACUUGGCUCAAAAAAUUGAAGUGAACAAAUCGGAGAUAUGAAAAUUACAUAUUAUGAUUUGCAGUUAUAGUAUUAGGUACUUUGAAGCCAUUCAACAAUAAUUUUAAGCCAUUUGUAUGAGAUUAUAAAUAAGAAAUAGAUUGUUUUGGGUUCUUAAUACCCCAUUCGUAUAGGAGCGCAAAUGGGUAUGGAUAGGGCCCAACUACAUGACAAAAAUACCCCAUUUGUAUAGGAUUGCAAAUAAGAAAUAGAUUGUUUUGGAUUCUUAAUGUGGAAUAAUUACAUGUAUUUAUAUCAUUUCACACAUGCAAGAAAUAUGAUGCCAAUUGGCGCAAAUAAGCCUAAUUGUUUUUUAUCACUAAUCCUGAAUAAUGUGCUUUUGAUUUUUUAAUCUUGAACAAGUAUUGUCAUCACUCGGUUAAAGCCUAUUGGAGGGUCAAAUUAUUGAAAUAAUCUUGAUUGUCGAGGCUUCCCAAUCCUAGAGACAUGCAAUUUGGGGAUUUUUUAAUUUUAUUUUAAGAGGUAUCUAUGAAACAAAAAUGACAAAGCAACCUCUCUAGGGAUGGGAAUCAGGUCGGUUUGACCUACUGACCUGACGGGUUGACCUAACAUGGGUCUAGGUCUAGGUUUUACUUUUGGACCUGACGAGUCGGGAAGUAUGGACCCCAUUAUGAAUCAGGUUGGCUCAACGUCUAAGUUGACUCGGCCUGACCAAAUCGAGGUUUUAUAUUACCGUUAUAAUAUACACACACCAAUAUUUAAUAAUUAUUGUAAAAAUUUUAUACAUAUUAAUGAAAUCAUAUUUAACUUAAUUGGCCCAAAACCUUAACAAAAACUUCCACUUAAAUUUAAUUAUUUAAUGUUAAUUAUCUCUACUAAUUUCAAGAAAAAAUAAAUCAAUGCAACUAAAAACAAAAAAACUAAUAAUAGAAUUUUACAAAUCAAGCCUCUUAACUUUCAAUUGGUGGAUGACAAUUGGCUUGGACAUGGUCAGAGUUGACUCGGAUUCCCAGGUCAGGUCGGUCAGUUCCAAGUUCAUGUACCCUCCAUUGGGUCGGGGUUUGUGUGGAGUGGUGUUGGACCAGGUCAAGUUUGGGUCUGGGUCCACUCCACAUAUUAUCAAGUCUAGGUAGGGUCCAGGUCAGGCACGACCUAGUCCCUACCCGACCCAUUCCUUGCCCUAGACCUUUCAAAUGUUAAUAUGGACUAGUUGACCCUUUAAUGAUUUUGUAAAGGGAAUCAACCCCUUCAAUGACAUUGUCCAAGUUCUUCAUGCAGAUCAAAUGUGCAUAUCUGAGUUAUUUUUUUUCGAGUUGGCUACUAGGUUGAGUAAGUCACAUCCCCAAAGUUUAGAAGUUUAGUGUCCUAACUGUACUGGCAAGUAUGGAUUCGGCCGAGGGAGCAAUGUGUGAAUUUUGCUCUUGACAGAGCAUAUGAUCUUUUCAAUUGUAUCCGAUCAUUCUUAUCAACGACACAAGCGAAUCAAUGUUAUCAGGAUCGCACUGCCAUUCUUAUCUAAGACCGAUCCGACUGUCGAUCAAACUGGUUGAAUCGGAAUUUUAAAAACUAAAAAAAACUAGAAUAGUUUAUAAGAUAAAAUAUAUAAAUAAAGAAAUAUUUACCUUUGUUUAACUGAUCUAACCUAUCAAAACAAGUUAGCCCAAUUGGCCGAAGUCAGUCAAAGAUUAAUUUUAACUGGUUUUUAACCAAACUCGGUUUUUACUUAUAAAUCAAACUAGACAAAGAGGAAGUACAACCUGGAGGUCCAAACCAGUUUUAAUAACUAUGAAGCAAAAUUUUCACUCUAUAGACAAGAUAGCGGCUUUUUUUCAUAAGACGAACUUUACUACAGUGAGCUUCCAUGCUACUUGACUCACUACUUGAUUCACAAAAGGAACAUUAAAAGCAAGCCCUGAAAGUCUAGUGGCCAAUUCUGUGAAGAAAAUCAUUUGAUAGAACACUUAGAUUUUAGUUAAAAGAUCAAGUAUCCUUUCCACAUGCAUGCUGGGUUUAAGGUACCAAACAUAAUCCUUCUAUGUAAGAAUAAAUAUUAUCCAUUACAUGCAAACAAAUACAAGAUAGCAUAGAGAAUCACAAUUGAUGGGUUUGUUAACCAGACAUAUGAAUGUUCCCCAAACAACAUAACCUUCUUAUUGGAAGGCUUAAACUAAGAAGGCGAGAACCCUUUGUGCUUAGAAAUUAGAACACCCCAUUAAUUAUGCCAAAAGAGUAUUCAUUCUCUCGGGUAAAACCUUUCGUUGGAUUAUUUUCAGGACCUUUUUCUCGAAUCCAUUAUGUAUGUGCCUGAAAAAAAUAACAUGCACAGACAAUAAGACCUAAAUUGUUAUGGAACUUAAAGGUCCAACUUUCCUUUUCUUCUUUGAAAAUACUCGAUAUGGUGAUUCGAAAGUAGAAACAAAAUUUCAGGUUGAGAUAAUCCUCCCAAGCAGGUCUUUUUCUCGAGGGUGUAGACGUAAAGUCUGAGCUCUUGAAAGUACGUUAGUACUCUAAACCGUGGAAGAAGGGCAUUGAAGUGCCCUGCCGAGUCCAUAAAGCUUAACUUCUUUAACUUUCACUCCUUUUGAUGGAAAAAAAGCUUAAACAUUUCAUUCUUGUGGAAAUUUGUUUUGAAUACACAAUGAGCCAACAAGGGGGCAAUGAGGAUUUAUCUCCUUUGAAAAUUAAGUUUAGAUAUACAAUAAGAAAACAGAAGGGCAAAGAUGAGAGGGUACAGAACUAGGACUAAAGCUACAACUCCCAUAAAGUCAUGCCGAAAUCCGUAAUAAUCUUCUAAGAAAGCGCGAACAGACUUUUUCUCUCCAAACACGUCAAUCACCUUGUCUGUUUCUCCAUAUUGUGAAGUUAGAAAGCCAUUUAAGGUCCAUGCAGUAGGACAUAUCCAAUUACACCAGACCCACCACUUGGGAAUUUGCUGCAUAAAAACACAUUACUACAUCAGUCAUAACAUAUCAGUUGAUAUCACAACAUAAAUAUCCUUGAUCAGUAUUCGCGUUAUCACUAUGAGCAUGACAGAGCCACAUGAUAAAACGUGCCAUCAUAUGAAAUACCUCGUUUACAAGAAUAUACUUUUAUCACUAUGAAUGCUAGAACACAAUGGAAUAAGAAAAUGUCUACAACAUUGAAUGUGGUUUUUUUGGUUUCUGGUCUUUGUAAAUGGUAAUUUUACUCAUUUGCCUCAGUAAGCUGGUAUAUGAACCCAAGAACACUGAGAUGCAGUUCAUAAGCCGCAAAUCAUAAGCCAAGAGGCUGAACCCAAUUUGGCCUCGUGCUCUGAUAGAGGCAUUAAAUCUAAACUCCAAUCCAUGAGGCCUAACCCCAUAGACCUAGUAUCCGGGUAUUCAAUUCUUAGGGUUGGAUUAGGAUUUGGUAAUUGUAAUUUUGAACUUAAGGGUAUUAGCCACAUAGUCAAGGAUCCCAGCCCUUAAUCAUAACCAAGCUCCCUCGUGAUUGGAACCAUUGUUUUCACCAUUUUGUGAUGGCUUAGUUUCGGAUAACCAUAGUCUAUUGAACGUCCUAUAAAAUACCAAUCUGACAGUACAAACAUUACUGCAUGAUUUUGGCAAUUCCGAAAUAUAGUCCUACCAUUGCUUUUUGAUAAAAAGAUUUACUACCACGCAUGCUCAUUAUACUAUAGCAAUCAUAUUUUCAACAUAUACUAAGAUGUAAAAUAAUUUCUUAUUUUUUAGCCAAUAAGAAACUAAUCUUUGUCUUAAGUUUUUAAAUUACGAUAACACAAGAGAACAAGAUCUCUAGAAAAUACAGGAUUAUUUUGUGCCAUUUAAUAUAUUUAAUUUAUAGAAGGCUAAAUUUUAUACUUAGAAAGCAUACUUUCAAAAUAUUUUUCCUAAACAAGAAAUGGGUAUCACAAUAACUCAUUUUUCAAGAGAGAUAAAAACAGAAUAAAGUUUAUAGUAUUUAAUAUAUUAGUUUGAUGCUUACUGGGUCUAUAUGAAGAGCUUGGCUUGUUAUAUCAUAAUUACAGUUAUAUUUUAGGGAAAUUAUCGCUAAUAUACCAUAAAUUUAGCAAAAUUGAAAAAAAAACCCCAAACUUCCCAAAACCUCGCCCACACCUUUUUUUCCAAUUUUCGUGAUUUUUUGGACGAAAAUGCCCUUUACGGUAGUCUUUCUACCGUAAUGGCAAGAUAAAAUUACGGUACUUUCAGUAUCGUAAUACUCAUUACAGUACUCUUAGUACCGUAAUGCUCCUUAAGAUCAUUACGGUCUUUUUAUGACCGUAAAAAAGUUUAAGACCAUUACGGUACUAAGAGUAUCGUAAUGAGCAUUACAAUACCCUUAGUACCGUAAUGCUUGUGUUGAGAUUUGGGGGAUUUAGCUGCAAGAGAGCGAAUGACUCUUUCGAGUCUUUUGCACGACACUUUCUGUUCCUCCUCCCAUUGCGGCAACUCUGGGUACACACAUUCAACAGAGCGAUCACCAAUUCCCUUCAACAGAGCGAUCAACAAUUCCCUUCAAAGAAAUUUCUGCUGCAACCAAAUGCUUAAUCUCAAUUUCUGGCCCUUGAAACCCAAGGGAAGAUGUCACAUGAUUUUUUAAGAACGCAUAUUUGGGUUCUAAUAGCUUUACUGCAGGUCCACCAUCAUCACCGAAUUCAUUGAACCUUUGCCAAGAAGCAAGUAUAAAAAUCAAAGAGAACAAAAACUCUCCCUGCGAAUGAAAUGAAUCCCAUUUCCACCUCAAAUCCAACAAAAAAAAAAAACCCUUUUUCAGCAAAAACCGCUUCAAAUUCCAACCAAAUGUCUCCAAAUUCCGGCACAAACGAACCAGACCUCAAAUAAAUCCGAUUAAGGUCCCUUCAAAAUCCGACCAAAAAACCCUAUAAUCAGCAAAAUCCGGCCAAAUUUCCGCAGUUAGCCGGAAAUUUACUGGGGUUCUCUCAUUACGGUAGUCUUAGUACCGUAAUACUCUUAAACUUCUUUAUGGUCAUAAAAAGACCCUAAUGGUCCAAAGUCCACUUGAAUUCCAGUAGACUUUAGACCAUUACAGUCUUUUUAUAACCUAAUGAUCUUAAUGGAGCAUUACGGUACUAAGAGUACCGUAAUGUAAGAGUACCGUAAUGCUCUUUAAGACCAUUACGGUUAUAAAAAGACCGUAAUGGUCCAAAGUCCACUGAAAUUCCAACAGACUUUGGACCAUUAUGGUCUUUUUAUGAUCGUAAAGAAGUUUAAGAACAUUACCGUACUAAGAAUACCGUAAUGCUCAUUACGGUACUAUGUUCAUUACGGUAAAAAGACCACCUUAAAGGGCAUUUUCGUCCAAAAAAUCAUGUAAAUUAGGAAAAAAGGUGUGGACAAGGUUUUGGGAAGUUUGGGGUUUUUUUCCAAUUUUGUUAAAAUUAAGGUAUAUUAGCGAUAAUUUCUCUACAUUUUAAUGUACUGUUUUUGUCUAACAAGGUGAAGCUGUUAUUUAUGCUUCACUUUAGUAAAAGUGAAAACCAUAUAACCAUACCCAUGGUCGAGGCUCAGCUAGAUAUAUGAAUAUUGUAGGGUAACCGCGUGUAGUUACCUUAGGUUAACACCACUUCGAAGUUAAAAUCCAGAAAAAAUAUUUUUAGAAGGAUAGUGAGUAAAAUGAGGGCCUGAAUAUCAACUUAGGCUUCUAAACCAGUUAACAACACACGCAUUGCAUGAUGCUCCUACAUAGAGAUUAGAUAAGAAAUAAUUUUUGAAACAUCUACAUAAAAUUAAAAUUUUGAUUUUGAUUUGAUUUUAAGUUCAUGCAAUAUUAUCGUUUUGCUGUUUAAUUUUCUAUCGAACUUUAUUUUUUUAUUUUUCUUUAUGGAUAACAUGGGUAUCAUUACAGACAUUUCUAUAUUUAUAAUUCCAUUUUGGUAGGCACUAUUGCCAUAUAACGGCCAUUUCUGAAUUUUUUUUAACUUUUCUUUUUCUGUUCACUCCUAUUUUUUCUCCAUAGUUGGCUAUUUUUUAUAUGAAGAUUUGGUUAAACAUAAAAAGGAUCUCCAAAGGGAGAAGGAGAAUUGCAAAGGAUCUCUAAAGGGAGAAGGAGAAGCGAUUCUUUUUUGAAUGACUUCAAUCAUUGUACUUGUAUGACAAAUCAAGAGAAUUUCAAGUUGAAGAUACUUUAGGGAUGAGAGUUUUCAAGAAAACAACGAAAGGGAGAGAUUUAGGAAAUUUACAGGGUAAAACAAUUCCGGUGAGAUAUUUAAAUAUCACACCAAUUUAUUCUCCCUUCAAUAUAUAAACCAAUGAUCCAUGUUCAAGCCAUAUAUUGAGUGCUAUCCAUCUAGAAUAUUUGAAUGACCAUUUACUUUGAUAUAACAUCCAUAUAUGAAACCAACAAAUGACUCCUGAGUCUUUUAUUCAGCAAAUGCCACAACUUGUCCUAAGAGUGCUCAUGGGUUUGAACCUUGAAGUUUGUCCCUAAUUGAAACCAAGAAAAACUACCCAAACAGUGAAACAACUGGAGUGCAAGCACUAAGAUACAAGAAACAUAAAAACUAGAUGAGAGUUGAAAGAAAUCACUUACUGGUCUAGGUACUAUGAAUCCUGAGAACAGGUUUUGAAGGGUGUAGCCAGCGGCGACCAAUAUAGAUGCAACUUGAGCAUUUGGGGUCACUGACACCAUCAACAUACCCAAGCAACAGAAGUAAAGCAAAUUGCAGAACAUGGUGAAGAGAUACCACAGGAACUUAUAUGCAGACCAAUGAUACCCCAUUGCUGGAUAUGUUAUAACAGUGUAAACAACUGCUAGGAUAAAUGUAUAAGGAAGCUCAAUAACCACCUGUGCAAACAUAAAAGGAAAUCAAGAUAUAGAGGGCUCAUGGAACCAACUGUUAACAAUAAAACAAAUCAACAUAACAUUCAUAAUAAAAAAAUUUUAAAAAAUAGAAAAGCACUCUGAACCUGGGCAAAAGAGUAGGCCAUAGAAGAGUACAUUCCAGCAAAUUUUUCACGAUAAAAAACAGCACGUUCAGUUGCCACAAAAGGUAUGAUGGCUGAACUAUUUUGUAUACCCAGAAGAAAGCUGCAACAUACAUCGAUCCAAGUAUGUUGAACAAGUCUUGCGCCUCAUUUCUGCAUAGUAAAACAGAAUUUCAACUUGAUAAUUGAAUACCUGUUAAGUGAAUUCCAAAAAUCAUAUCACCACCCACAAUAUACAUGCCAAGAAGGUUCAAAUGUCAUAUACAGUAACUUCCAAACUAGGUCAUCAGCGAUUUAAAGGGGAGGCAGUAGAUUGUGAAUCCUCUAAAUGACUAGGGAAAGUUGGCCAUGAGAAAGAAAUGCUGUCCCAUCUCCUAGGCAGCUAGAAACUCAAUGUCAAUGAGAUAUCCAAAAAUGAUCCUAUCCGCACAGAAGAUUGCAAGACUUCGGUAAAACCCCUUGAGUGAACCAAAUUUGAAUGAGGCACGUUAAGGAAAAAAAAGUGUAGGAAAUCCUAUUUAUGAAAGAAGAGUUCACGCCUACGCCGUCGUAUGAUAGACAUUGAGGUUGAAACCCUAGUAUUUCAAUACAUAACCUGCUUUGGACCUCCUUAAGGUUCUUCAUAACUUUUUUCAGCAUUAAAAAACUCAGCCAAGUUAUGAGCCAAGGCGAGUUCCCAUCUACCCACUCAAGUACAUGGGAAAGUGUACAGUACUUGCGUAAGUACCAAAGAACUUGCCUGAGUACUGUAGAACUCCAGCAAACUUGGCCGAGUUCUACAUACUGGAUGAGUCACUACAAUACUUGCCCAGGUACUGUUUAUAGAAAAAAGGGUGGCACCGCCACCGUUAUUUGAUUUCUCUCUCUCUCUCUCUCUCUACCUAAUAGAUUCCGCCCCCUUUUCUCAUCUCUCCCUCUCUGAAAGGGGGAAGAAAUCUGCCCCCUUUUUUCGUUCCUCUCCCUCUCUAAAGGAGGCAGAAAGCCACCCCACUUUUUCCUAUCUCUCUAGAAGGGGACAGAAAUCUGCCCUCCUUUUAUCAUCUCUCUCUCUCUUAUGACAAUAGAUUUAACUCUAAGAUGCAAUUUCCAGACAAAAUGUGUUUAUUGUUAGUGUUUAGAACUGUCAAUACUUGUAUCAAUAUUAAGUCAUCUUGAUCUGCCAUUGAUAUCUUGAGAAUUGAGGAAGAAUUGAAUGCUUGGCAAACAGUGCAUUAUUAAGUAGGUCUCACUCGGCCCACGUAGAGCAGGUAUGAAUCUGUCACACUGAAGCAGGGGUUUGCAUAGUCCUAGUAUUUGAGUGACCGCUUUAGUUUGGCAAAAGUUCCCAUGUUGAGAUAUUCAAAAACACAAACAAGAAAGAAAAAAGAGAAAAAGAAUAGGCCAGCACCCCAGUAAUCACUCAUGAAACUACCAAAUGGAGUAAUAAUUACGACUGAAAGUUGAUGACUUCUGAUAUUUAGAGUUCAUUAGAAAGUGGACAUGCUUAUAUAUAAAACCUGAAUUCAAAAGAUCUAGAGAUAAACAUCUGCCAAAAGCAAAUAACUCACAUUUUUUUCCCAUGUUGCCAGAAAAGUGCCCCUAGAAAAACUGAUGCGGCAAGUACAAAAAAGAGACGAACAAGGUUGUAUGCUGGACUUCUCCAAUAUGAUAAAGAUUGCUUCCAUAGACAUGUUGUAAAUUGUACCCAUCCAUUUUGAGGAAAACUCGUCUCAAAAUACAAGUCUUUUGAACCUGGUUGAGGUGUACUUAAUUGUUUGACCAACUCCAUGUUCUCCCUACAUAUGACAAAUUAAUCUUUCACAUAGCAAUGUACGAGUAAUGACUAUUUUUCCAUGAAACCUUUUAAUAAAUUAGGAGCACUCACAGGUAAAGAGAUGACUCUUUAUACAAGUCAGCAAAAUCUAUGCCAAGCUGCUUCUCCAUAGAUGUUGAAGUAACUUCCAGCAUCCAUGUUGCUGGGUUGUAAUUGUCUCUAAUCUUGGGCAAACCUAAAAAACUCUGCUUAAAAGUUAUUAAAAUACCAUGACAUACCAAUCUUGAAAUUCAUGGCAGCAAUGAAAUUAGUAAUGGGAAAAAAUAGAUGUCAUUGAAUAAUUUUUGCAUGGUCAGCUGUCUUUCCUCCUUCGGAGACUUCUCGAGCUUGAGCUCUCAGGACUCAUACGGAGGGACAGCCUUGAAUUCCUCCUAUUUAGAACCACAAUUUUGGCUCCAAAUUUUUCCACUAUGCAACUGCAGGCAGGCAAGCCUCCCUUCCCCCCUUCGAGCUACACUCAUAGGGAAAAUUGGCUGAGCCUGCUUCCCUGCUUCAUGGGCUCUUCCUUCCCAACAAGAGCUUUGCUCAAGGAAAAACAGGAGAAGAAGGAAGGAAUGUUUGUGGUCCUCAGGGGGGGAAUGAGGGGGGUGGUUGGGGAAACAUGGACUUCCCUUCUUUUGCUCCACAUCAGAGGUUAGUAUCUAGGAAGAUUGCUGCCUACUAACAUAAGAGUCUACCGCAUUUUCUAUCCAAAUAGAAGAACAAUGAAGUCUUUCUUCAAUUAACAUACUCACCUCAAAAUAUUUGAUUACUCGACUUGAAUGCUGGCCCAAGGGUCCUGAGUAGAUUAUCUGGCCCCCCUUUUUCAUCAAAAUUAACUGUGAGCAAAAAAAGAAACAUUGAAUGACAUAGCGUUAUAUAAAUAUCAAAUCUAAUUGCACUCAUAAAUGUGUUGCUGGUUGUUUAAAAAUUUAAGAUUCCUAUAUUUCAUGGUACUUGUUAUAAUAUUGUGAAAUGAUUUGUCUGCAUGCAGAUACUAACAUUAUGCCAAACAAAGGUUGUUCUUUUAGAUUUAGACUUAAAAGGAGGGGAAGGGGGGAACAUAAUACUACAGCUAUAGUCCACAGCACAUUUGUAAGUGACCAUUCACAUGCAAAGAAACCAUGCCCUUUAAUCUAUUAAUCAAAGUCAAAUGAUUAUCUCAUGCAAAGUUAGAGCUCUUUAACAUAUAUCAUCAUCAUCUGAGCCUCAUACCAACUAUUGUUGUCGGCUAAGCUAUUUAACAUACCAAGAGAGGUAAAUCAAACUUUCUAAAAUCUGUGACAUCUUCUAUCUUUAUCGAAAAAUCAUUAGUCCUAAGAUAUCUAUAAAACUACUGGUCAUGCACCAUUCUAACAAAAAGGUACAUUGAAUGCUUACCUCAUCAAACGAUUCAAAAAUAUCAAUGCUUGGCUGGUGGAUUGUGCAAACCACAGUUCUUCCAGUCUCCACGAUAUUUUUCACUGCACGCAUGACAAUUGCAGCUGCUCUUGCAUCUAGACCCGAGGUGGGUUCAUCCAUAAAUAUUAUAGAUGGAUUGGCAACAAGUUCCACUGCUAUAGUUAGUCGCUUCCGCUGCUCAGUAGAUAAGCCAUUUACAGAAGGAAGUCCAACUAAUGAGUCUUUAAUCCCUUCAAGUUCGAUGGUCUCAAGCACUUCCUUCACAAAUUCCUAGGUAAAAGAGGAUUCAUCACAGAUAUUAUAAGACAAUUCUAAGGAAAUGAAAAGUUCAUGAUGGUAUCAUGAAAAUUCAUUGAUUGGUACAUAUAGCUCAAACCAUGCAAAUGGGCAAAUAUUACCCUUUGCAUUGAAAAGGAGAAAUAAUUGAAAGAAUAUCAAUUAUAUAUAAUUCUUGUGUUGAAUACUGCAUCCAGUGCUAGAAGUGACCUUAGGUACCACCUAAGAUUCAUAUAACUUUGAAAGUUUGAACUGUGGAAUGUAUCAACUCACAACUUUAGUCUUUUGAUCAAUUUGAAGAGCUAAACGUAACCAAGCUGAAUAAACCACUGAUUCUUCAACUGUAAUUUGUGGGGAAUGAAUGUCAGUUUGCUCACAAUAACCAGAUAUCCUAGCAAAUGUUUCUUGGACCUUAGGAAAUCCCCCUAUAGUUAUGACUCCUUCAAUGGUACCACCAGUUUUUCUUCCAGAAAGAACAUCCAAGAGUGUUGUCUUGCCAGCACCACUAACACCCAUCAAAGCUGUAAGAAUCCCAGGUCUAAAAGCACCAGUAACAUCUUGGAGAAGCUGCAGUCUUUUUUUAUUUACACCUUGCUCAAUCAAAGCCUACAAUGGAGAAAACUUAAAUCAUUAUCACUGUUGACAGAUAACAUAUCCUCCAGAUUAAAUAAUGAAAAAAGGCAAAGGAUGUGUGGUUUCAAUGAGGUAAUUACUGGAGGCAUGUCAACAAAGUAUUGAACAUCUUGAAAUGCCAUUGUUAGGGGCUCAAAAGGUACAACUAUCCUUCCUGUUCAAAGAGCAAAGUCAGCUUAAAAGUUCUCAUUUUUCACGGGCUCAAAACAAGGUCUUCAAUAUAAUUUUAUAUGCUUGUUUAUAAAGGAAAACUAUCAUGAUGCCACCGGCUUCAAAACCCAUGUUAAAAUGGCACCUAUAAAUAUUAGCAAAAGUUCAUAUCUCUCCAUUUCAUAGUAUGAUGCUCUUGGAACCAACAAAGUAGCAACUUUAAUAAAAAUAUUCCAACAUUUUGAAACAGUGGCUCCAUGGUACUUUUCCGUUUCAACUAACACUGCCUCAUAAGAAAUGGAUAAAAUAACUCACCAGCCCUACUCUGAUCAGGAGUAAGACUCUCAUUACUUUCUUGUUCUUGAAUUUGAGGGAACUUCUCACGUGAAAUAAUUGCCCGGGAACUACUAGGAGCUGCAAUUGCAAUAAUUUCCAUUAAUUUAAAAACUUAGGGGAAAGCAUUGUUGGCUUUUAAAAGCAAAAUCUUGAAACAAUAUGGGUUUCUCAAUAAAAUCGUUUCAAUUGUAUUAGUUGUGGGAAUGAAAAGCUACUAGGUUGUUAUCUGCAUGGUUCGUACUUUCUUGAAUUGGUUAUUACUUGUCGCAUUUCUAUUGUAAAUGUCAGAUUCAUUAGGGCUUUGCUUAAAUAUGCAAGUCAAUUUGCCUUGUUUCUUUGCUUUAAUCUCCACAAUUUUAAGUGUUUGGCUUUUCUUUUCAUCAAUAACCUCCAAAAUUUUCAACAUAUCAGAGAUUGAGAGUCAAAAAAUUGUGGACUGCAGGUUUAAUUUGGUGAGGAAAUUCUUAACGGGCUAUCUGUGGCUUUGUCAGCCAAAUAAUAUAAAGGAAAUUCAUUUUCUUUUUUAAAAUCACUAAUAUUCCUGUACUUGAAACAUAUAAAAAUUUCGUAGGGUGCUGAAAAAAAUAAAAAAUAAAAAAAUGGGAUGUGUCUAACAACCAUAAAGAUAAUGAACAAACAAAGUUAAACAAAGCACGUAUUGCCCUAACAGAUAUUGCCCAGCAACUGCACUAAUUCCCAUAUCUGAAAAUAACCCAAACCCAAACAACAGGAAGAGAUUAUUCAAAUAAGCAUUGAUAUUUCCAGUGAGAACAAGAUUGCGAUUUUCAUUAAUGAAUGUGCAAAUAAACUAAUGCUUUUUAUUACGAACAUAAUAAAUUGACUAAAUUGAAGACAAUAAUUCCAUACUUACCCUUUAAGUAAGUUACAGCAAGUGUGAAGCCGAUAUUGCAAAGUAUAGUGAUGCCAAAUAAGGCCCCAACAGAUACCCAAUACAAGGAGCCAUCAAAGAGAAGUCCCCGGUUCUUUAGUGUUUGUUGCCCCAAGCUCAUAUUCGCAGAUGAUAUCUGCAAUACAAAAUUAUGAGCAACUAAAAUUAUCUUGAAGUUUACUAUGUCAAACUACUUUUAAUGUAAUAGAACUUAUGUACACAAUAUUUAAAAUUUUAAAUAAUGAUUUUAACAAAAUCCACCCUAAACCCUAAACCCUAAACCCCUAAACCCUAAACCCUAAAACCUAAACCCCUAAACCCUAAAACCUAAAACCUAAACCCUAAACCCUAAAACCCUAAAACCCUAAACCCUAUAGUAAAACCAUUUACUUGAUGAUUAAUAGUUUCAAAAGCAUUACCAAAAGGCCUCAGUGGUUUGAGCCAACUUAAUAACAAAAGCACUC